rnacentral:lncRNA from 1 species
AGUCAAUUGCGAUUUGAUUCAGCCGAACAGUUAUACCAGUUCUCUUCAUCUAUCAGUACAGUUUGUGAGUAUAUAUAAUCAAUAAUUAUUUAGUAAAUUAACUGAAUUGUGAUCAAACUAAGCAAGUCAAGGUAUAAAUGAAGUCAAAAUUGCUCAAAAAUGAAUCCUCUUGAUAUGAAUUAGCCACACGUAGUGGCUAAAUGUUCCCGAUUAGUUUGAAAAUACAGAUGAACAUCUCAAGAAUUCCUUCCCAAUUUCCUCCCCAUUCCCAUUUUCUUUGUUUUCCUUCCCCUCAGUGGCUGAACAAUUAUUAGUAAAACAUAAGGAAUAUACAAUUCUCAAGUCUGCACCAAAAUAUAUAUAAUUAGGUUAAAUUUAAACACAAUGGCCUCAAUUUAAUGCUAUUGGAUAUGCUUUAACGUUAUGAAAUAUAUUUCUUGUAUUUUUCUGAAAACCUAUUGAAUGUUUCAAAACAUUUAGCUUUUUACAUCCGGAAAAGCACCUGUUUUGUCUUGAAAACCCCCAGCCCUGUUCAAAUAUGUGUAAUUUGUAUGGAAUGCAGACUUUAUAUUACUGAAUUUUUUAAGCAGGUACCUGAUUUCUCUGAAAUUAAUUAGCACACCUAUUUUUAGAAGGUUCAGAAAAAGAGAUUUUAGUAAGUACCAGAGUUGCAAUUGUGGGUCAGAUUUAUAUUUGUAUAAUCAAAAGUUUGCAAAUCAGAGGCAUAGUUCCAGCUUAGUGAAUAGACCCCAGUAUUUAUAAUGAUCUGUUCAGCAAUCUUACAGAUAGAUGCUUUUGUUUGACAUAUCUUACUAAUUUCUGCAGUUCCAUACCCAUUUUUAAAGCUCUUUGUUCAUUAUAACAUGGUUUUUUUUUUUGCUGCAUACCUAUGGGUGAAUUUGUAAUCUGUAGGUAAAAUCUUCAUGCAUGCCUAUUUGGCGUGACCUACUCAUAGUAGAAUGAGGUCUUAGUUUAGACUGUUCAAUUUUAUGUUGCAUUAAAUAUCUCAGAUUUCACCCCAAACUGCUCUUGACAUAUUAUAAACACAAUAUUUCAUGCCAGCAUCUGUAUCCAGUAGAGAAACUCUGAUGCGCUCCACUUGCAAUAUUACAACCACUUAACAAAGGUACACCAUAUAAAUAUAUAUAUAUAUAUAUAUAAUUGCAAAGGUUCCAGCGAACUCACUCAUCCACUAAACAGCAACUUCAAAGCUCACAGAUUUUAUUAGUUUUUUUUUAAAUCUUUAAAAACAUCUAAUCUAGGCAAAAAUUAUGGGGAUUUAGUUACAGUAUAUGAUCAUACUUUGCAUAAGCCUGCCACAACGUCAAUGUACCCCAUCCUCGGCAGGUCCUACUCUAUCAGCCUAAUGUCUGCUCUUAUGAGAAUAACCCACUUACUUAGGGAAAAAAAUCUCCAUCUGGGGCUCUCUGCAGUACAAGGCUAAAUGGGGCCCUGGGAUGGACUAUAACAUCAUCAGUCAUCGUUGGGUGUGCAUGGACAGUUACUGCUAUUGAAGCAGGCUCAGUGAUCUGAUUUCCUCGAACAGACUGUGUAUAUGAGAGAGUGAUUGUCACAAACAACUUGUCUUAUACAUACUUACAUCCUAUGAGAGUGAAAUUAAAAACAGUUUUUCUUUAAGGUGUCUUGUGAGUUCCAAGUGACACUCUAGGCACCAUAAUCACUUAAUCUAAUUUAUAGCAUAGGCAUCAUCCAAUGGUUAACCAUUUUUAAAAUGACACUAAACGAGGGUCCCUUAACUUCUGUGGAUCUGCCUCUGACUAGACGUACGGCUUAGGCAGAGAGUAAGCCCACAUAAGCCAUACCAAUUCAUACCAGCAAUAUGUGGAGUGCAGUAAAGAAAGCCUCCUAUAUGGAAAAAAAAUGUUAAUUUAGCUGCACUUGCGCUGCAUUAGACAAUAAUUACAGGGUAUUUGAACCUAUAUCCAAGAGCUUCGAUAUUGCUCUGUGCAUGCGCAAGCCUGCUAGGCUGUCUGUCAUCCAGAAGCACAGAUUGCACCACUCUCUAGACCCUGACUUAAGCAAUGCCUCCAUUUGCCCCACUCUUGGUCCAGCAAUCAAGCACUGCCGCAUACUUGCCAACAUUGUCAGCUAUGUAGCUGUCUAUUUUGUAAUGUUGCAUAUGUUGGCAUUUUAUUAAAAAAAAAUCAACCCACUUACUUAGGGAAAAAAAUCUCCAUCUGGGGCUCUCUGCAGUACAAGGCUAAAUGGGGCCCUGGGAUGGACUAUAACAUCAUCAGUCAUCGUUGGGUGUGCAUGGACAGUUACUGCUAUUGAAGCAGGCUCAGUGAUCUGAUUUCCUCGAACAGACUGUGUAUAUGAGAGAGUGAUUGUCACAAACAACUUGUCUUAUACAUACUUACAUCCUAUGAGAGUGAAAUUAAAAACAGUUUUUCUUUAAGGUGUCUUGUGAGUUCCAAGUGACACUCUAGGCACCAUAAUCACUUAAUCUAAUUUAUAGCAUAGGCAUCAUCCAAUGGUUAACCAUUUUUAAAAUGACACUAAACGAGGGUCCCUUAACUUCUGUGGAUCUGCCUCUGACUAGACGUACGGCUUAGGCAGAGAGUAAGCCCACAUAAGCCAUACCAAUUCAUACCAGCAAUCGGGGGUAGCGAUAGUCUGUAACUGUAUACCACAAAUUAUUAUUUAUUAUUAUUAUGAUAUUUAUAGAGCGCCAUCAAAUUCCACAGCGCUUUAUAUGAGUAAUAAAAUUGCUUAGUAAAAUAUUAAAAUAAUGUAAUGCAAUAGGAUGAAACAAAACACAGUUUAGCUUAUAAUACUAAUUAUUAGAACAUUAGCAUAACUAAUUCAGCAAAAUAAAAUAGAUACCAAAAUAAUAACACAUUUACCCUGAUUUUCUAUGUACGUCAUUUGUCAUCUGUGUCUAGUUGCUACAGGUCAUAUGCUAGGUGUCCAUCACGUAUCUAUAUGUGACACUUAAAAAAACAAAAAACAAUGAUACAGAUUUUUCAUUGAAUUAUACCAAUAUAAACAAACUCAGAGAAAAUACAACAAAAAAAGAUAGUCAUAAACAAAUUGUGUGCAAGAGAAACAUACAGGGAAUCUCACUGCGCCAUAAGUUAGUGUAUUUCAACCAGUGUGCCGCGAACAGUUUCCUCUUGAAAUAUUGAAUGAGGAAUUUGGCCAGCAUAACACAGGGUUGCAAUUACUUGCAAACUUUUUAUCUCACGCCAUCUAUGAACUCAAUAGGUGUAGGUGGAUACAGAUCAGGGGUUUUCCUGUGUUUACACAACUUCCCUACAGAAUGUACAGAAACAAUACAAUGUGAGUGUAAAAAUACAAUACAAUAUGAAAUAGAUUACGGAAUAGAUCUGUGAUAAAAUACCAGUGUGUGAAAAUAGCAAAAUGCUUUAAGAAAAAUAGCCUGGUGUGUCUGAUUUUCAGAAUAUGUUAUUGGCUUUCAGUUUUACAUUCUGUGACAUGUACUAAAUGUAUGAAACACUUCAACCAUCACGACAUUGGAUACAUUGAGUAGAUUAUGACAUUUACAACCAGCCUUUUUUGUACCAGAGCACUCUUUAAUGAGAGAAAAUUUAACCAAAAUGCCUAUAUAUCUUCCAGGUUUUUCCCUUUUUUUUUCUUAGCAUUUACUUAAAGCUUUAUUAGAUAGAAAUAUAUAAUGCUAUCUAAAAUGACUUAUAGUGUUUCAUUAACUGUCAUUUUGGACUUCUAAUUUUAAUGCUGAACUUUAUUACAGUUAAACUCCUGGCACCAUAACUACUUCAUCAGAAUGGAGUUGUAUUGAUACGAGAGUAUCCCAAACGCCGGCUUACCGCAAACAUUAAUGAACGUUUAUCCCCUAUGUUUUCAGUCCCAUGGCCAUUAGCUUGGCCCCGAAACUUCCUUUCUAAGUCCUUUUUUUCUUUAUACUAGCGAGUAAAUAGCAUUCUUGACAGCAGCUGCAAUGCCUAUUCAAAUUGCGUUGGUCUCUAGUGAAUUAACGUGAUAAUUACAUUUAAAUAAAUCUAAAAUGAAAGUAAUUUCAGAAAACCUGUAGAUGUUGAAAAAUGUGUAAAUUAAACCAUCUGAGCAGCCAAUAAGAUAAAUUAUGGGCUAAUUCACUAAACAGUGAAUUGUAGUGAAUUGAGAACCGAUUUGCAAACUUUAAGCUACAAUACACAUGAAAAACAUGUGCAACAGAGCUAUUUGGCAAGCUAGCUAUCACUUCACUACAAUUCACCAUAUAGUGAACAGCGUCAAUGCUAAAUAGAGACACAUUUUAAUAACCCCCUUGAGGUACUGAAUUUAAAUACAAACUACCAAAGCAUAAGCAUAGAAAAAGAAAUCCAUUAAAAAUCAGAGAUGGGUCCCUUGGCUAGGGGUUUCCCAAACUCCUUGCUCUGAGGAAACCACUCUGAUUAUUUAUAGCCUUAUUCAGUAAAGUGAGAAUUCAAAGUGCAUUUCAAGACAAGGUAAAAAUAGCCGAACUGGAAACAUCUUCUAAGUCAGGUAUGCUUCCAGUUUGGCUACUUUGGCCUUAGAUUCGGACUGUGAAUUCAGUUUGAAUUUUUACUUCAGUAAAUAACCCUGUAAUGUUUUAACAGAAAGUGAAUUUCACCCAGCAGCAAUUUCAAGACCUGCCUGCCCAAAAUAACAAAGAAUGCAUAAGUGACAAAAAUUGCAAAGUAGCAGCAUAAUGAAUGUAACGUAUGACUCAAUUUGUCAGUGUCACAUGUAGGGAUUUGACACAAAUUGAUUUCUAAGUAAAAUGUAACUAUUGGAUUUGUACUAUUUUUUAAAAUUCCAAAUUGGUUUUAUUUUAUAAUUUACUUUGUAUGCUUGGCUAUCCUGGCACAGCUAGAGCAUUAUAUUUAUUUAUAUAUUAGUAUAGCCCUCAUUGUGCUGUGUGGUGGGGGCACGUGUACACAUGUUCACUUUUGAAGAAAUGCAUGAGUUUAGAUUAUUUUCCAUCAGAUGCCCACACGUGCCCACUGUGGGGCAUUCACAACACCCCUGACAUGGAAGUUCUGCAGAAGGAGGUGUGUUUUAUAUACUUACUUCUGCUGUAUUGCGCAAACCAUUAAAAAGACACUCUUGACCCCUAAAACACUUCAGCUUCCUGAUAUGUGUGAAGAGUAUGUCCACUUUUAUAAUUUUUGAAAAAUUACAGAUUUCAAUAAAAAUUGGCGAUCUUAUAAAUUAACUUUGUUACACCCUCACCCCACCCCACCUGACAAUCAGACAACCGGUCCUGUUACUUCCUGGUUUGGUUAGCUUAGUGGAGCAAAACUCGAGAGGCAGCAAUUGCUCAGAGCACCUGCCUUACAAAGACUCUUCAUGGAGCUGAAUUGGGAAGUCUGUGAUUGGACAGCCACAGAAAGUCUGGGCAGGGCUAGAAGGGGAGGGCUUGCAAAGGCAUCAGACAAGAGAUCUGUAGCUUUUGCAAGCUGUUUUGGAUAGAUCCCCACUGGAAAAAAAUUAAAUAAACAGUUACUCAUAUUUAUUUAUGUAUACUUUUUUAAUUUGGUAGUUGAGUGUCCCUUCACUAGCAUUUACUGUGAAGUGGGAAUGAGAAACUGUAACUUGAAGAAAAGUGACAUCUCCACUUUAAUUGUUAGACCUACAACGAUUUACUGAACAAUAGAAAGUAUAUUGCACCUUACAAUGACAAUGGUUUCACCAAACUUUAGGGUCAAGCAGUACCAUUAUUUGUUACAUGCUGACUUGAUGUCCUGGCCUAGACAGUCUGUAUUAGGGUGGCUCUUAUUGUAUUGCCUCCGUAUUCCAGCUUAUUUGAUGAGAAACUGUGACUUAAAUAUCACAGCAUUUACUGAGUUUUAAAUUGAAGGCAUUUACAUCCAUAAAUCAUUAACUGUGCAGGAAACCGACCACUGUUAAGUAGAAAGUCUGUAAGUGUUAGACGACCAACAAGUAACUGAACAAAUUAACAUAAUAGUAAGUUGUCAUAUUUAGAAUUUGGUUGUAGAACCUUUGAAUUUAUUUACUUCCUGAAGUCUGCAAUUCAUAGACAUCAGCGAAUGAGGUAUAUAGUUGUUUUUCCGAUGAGAAAAUUUUGGAAAUUAAUUUUGGCAUCAUAAAAGUGUGAAACACUGCUCUGAGAGUUACUUAGUAUUAAAGUAAUGUGUUUUCAUUUUUUCCUUUUGGUAAUGAAACAUUUUGCUAUAUGCUUUAUAACUCAGAUAGUUUAUUGAAUACUCAAAACAUAUAUCUAUUUUUUUAUGUUUACAACUCCUCCUGUAACUGUGCAUAUACAGAUUAUGCAGUGUAGAAAUAAAUAUAACACACAAGGUUAUUUGCUAAAUUGAAAAUUCUAAAUGAACUCAAAGUGAAUUUUCAUUUAUAGUUAAAACAGCUUGCAAAAAUUGCAGUUCUCUUGUCUGCAGCUUUUGCAAGACCUCCCCUUCUAACUCCUCCCAGACUUUUUGUGGCUAUCCAAUCACAGAUUUGCCAAAACAGCACAAUGAGACGUUUUUGUUUAGAAGUUGUUUAAAAUUAAGAAAUCUCCAAGUUUUAAUAGAUAUAUCUAACUUUACUUGCAUCUUUAAGCGUAAAUCAUUUGCCAACGCACCGCAACUCACUUUUUACAGAACAAACAUUUAACUGAUACUCCUUUAGAUGUUUAAAAGCUUUUAUUUAUAUUGCUUGUCGCUAUUCAUUCAUAGCACCUUUCUCCUCAAAAAGACCAACAUCUAGUGCUUUUAGUAGAGUAAACGACUUGAAUGUAUCAUUAUAUCUUGGUAAUGCCAAAAAAAGAAUGAAUAGUGGUGUGCGUCAAGAUAAAACUUCCAGCCAGGGGACUGUGACAGCCUGCAGCUGAAAGCAAUUACAAAGACCUUUAAAAUCUGACUGGCCAGAUAUUAGCAAAGGCAUCACAUAUGCAAGAGAGGCCAUAAUAGCCUUGAAUUUAGAAACAGAAUUCUCAAAGUAAAAUGUUGAUUUUCUUUACCACUCCUUAAACGAACCUGCUCUGCGGCUUAAAGCAUUGCUUUUAAUGCUUUAAUAGUAUUUUCUAUGAAGACGGAAAUCCCAGAUCAUAGGAAAAUGCUAGUCAUGCAUUUUUAUUUUCACUCCAGGGUGUGUUCUUUUUCAAAAAUGGAUUCUUUUUAUAAAGUUAUUGCAAAGGUUAUAUUCAAUGUGCGUGUUGAAACAUAGCUGGUAUUAUCAAGAGAUUUUAUUAAUUUGGACAUUUUGGGCAGAUGGUAUCUAACAGUAUCUGUGUAAGCGACAUGGUGUAUUAUUUAGGUUAAAGGGGAGUCAGGUUUUCAGCCAAAAGUUCAUAUCAAGGUCAAAGAAAUUUGCAAUUGUCCACAUACUUAAAGGGGCACCAUAACCACAAUACUGUAGUCAUAAUGCUUUAUGUCUGUGCAAUAUUCUCCAUGUGUUGUCUAAUCAUUUGAUUCACUGGCACCCAUAUCCACCUGUGUUCAGUACUAAAGGAAAUCAUGGUAACUCUUGGAAGAAUGAACCUACCGGUAGUUUACUGUAUUUACCAAAUGGACUAGUUUAAGGCCUGUACCAGUGUUGCUGUUUUUAAAAUAUGUUUAUACAUAUGUAUAUAACCAGGAGGCUCCAGGCCUAACAGCUGAUUAUUGGGUCAUAGGGGAUGGUGAAUUUAAAUCUGGGCACAGAAAGUGUUCAACUUUACUCUUUGUUUUUUUUUUUUUUCUUUACUCCAGAAUCAGAAUUUUCAUAAUACAUUAAAGAAUUGAGGUUAGCUCUAUCCUUAACCUGGCGCGUGACCGCGCCAGGCACCAUGGCAGCAGGGGUGGGGGGCUUGCAUAGCUCGCCAAAUAGAUUGUGCAUGCAGGGGCUGGUGGUGAAGGGCAGAGUUUGAAAAACCAGCAAAAAGCCAGAAAAUCCGCAAGUAUGGGGGGUGGGGGUUGGAGCUAAAUAUGCUGUGUGGCAUUUAUCUAUACACUCUGUACUCCUUUAACCUCUUAAGGACAGGUCGUUGGGGACCAGGCUCUAAGCGCCGGCGGACAACAUAGCACGUCCAUGCCGUCCUCCCAACUUACCUGUUUUGUAAAUAACCUCAGAGGUAAUAUAAAUAAUAAUCCUAGUUAGUUUAGUUGCUAGUUUUCCAUUUAUAAAAGUCCCAAAAACCAUCCAUGUCACCCAAUCCCAUUUGCUGACGUUUUUCUACGGAGCAUGUCUGUAGACGUUAUACCGUCAGGAAAUAUAAAUGUUUUGAACCAUCUCUAUAUAAAGGAACCCAAGACCCCAUGUUUGACUGCAAAUAAUGGGUGAACUUGUUUCAACUGCAACUACAAUUGUCAUGCUUAAAAGAGGUGUAUCAGAACCAAAUCUCUUGCAAGCACUUCCCACCAUUCCCACGUGAAUGACAUCCCAGGGAGUCCCCCUGCUGCCGAUCCGGCCCUCCUGGUCCAUGUGAUCGCGAGGACCUCACGAUCACAUGGACGGAAUAGCCGUCCAUAGCAGUGACAGCAGGGGGAGUGCCUAGAAUGACAGGCAGUCCCUCUGCUGCCUGUAGAAAAGUUUAAUUUAUAUAUAUAUAUUAAUAUCAAAAUACACGUAGAAUUACAUUAAUUAAUUAUAUAUAUAUAUAUAUACACACAAUUAUAAUUAUAUAUAUAUAUAUAUAAUGUAAAAUAAAUAAAUAUAUAAAUAUGUUACAAAUGAAAAAUAAGAAAUAAUAAAAAAUAAAUAAUUAAUAUAUAUAUAUAUAUAUAUGUGUGUGUAAUUUUGUAUUUUGAUAUUAUUAUAUAUUUAUAUAUAUUGAUAUCAAAAUACACUUAGAACGAAAUAAUAGAUAUAUCUAUAUACAUAAAUAUAUAUGUAUAUAUCCCUAUAUAUAUAUAAAUAUAUAUAUAUAUAUAGCUAUAUAUAAAUAAAAAUAACUUAUAUACACAUACGUAUAUAUAUAUAUAUAUAUAUAUAUAUAUAUAUUAUUUUUAUUAUUUUUAUUCUACAUAUAUAUUUACGUAAUAUUUUUACAUAAUUAGGUCAUUUUAUUAAUUACAUAUUUGUGGGACCUGCCUUAUAACCCAGGCCGAAAAGUCUAGAGAAUUUAAUUUGCUAGCACUAUAUUUAACCCUGUAACUUUCCAAGACACUAUAAAACCUGUACAUGGGGGGGGUACUGUUUUACUCAGGAGACUUCACUGAACCCAAAUGUUAGUGUUUCAAAACAGUAAAACGUUGAUAUCAUCAGUGAAAGUGAAGUUUUUUGCCUUUUUCACACACAAACGGCACUUACAUUGACGAUAUAAUUCUUGUGAUACGUUUUAUGUUUUUGAAACACUAAUAUUUGUGUUCAUUGAAGUCUGCUGAGUAUAACAGUACCACCCACGUACAUGGUUUAUGGUGUUUUCUAAAGUUAUAGAAUCAAAUAUAAGGCUUGUGUUUCAGUUUUUUCCCAUUGAAAUUCGUCAGAUUGGUUAUGUUGCCUUUGAGACCGUAUGGAAUUACCCCCAUGAUGGCAUACCAUUUGCAAAAGUAGACAACCCAAGAUAUUGCAAAUGGGCUAUGUCCAGUCUUUUUAGUAGCCACCUAGUCACAAACACUGGCCAAAAUUGGCGUUCAAGUUAGUUUUUUGCAUUUUUCACACACACAUACAAAUAUUAACGCUAACUUUGGCCAGUGUUUGUGACUAAGUGGCUACCAAAAUAGACUGGACAUAACCCAUUUGCGAUUACCUUGGGUUGUCUACUAUUGCAAAUGGUAUACCAUCAUGGGGGUAAUUCUCAGUCCUGGGCUACCAUACAAGGCAACGUAAACAAUCUGGCGAAUUUCAAGGUAACAAAUCUGAAAAAUGUAACAUGCUAUAUUUGACCCUGUAACUUCCCAAAACACCAUAAAACCUGUACAUAGGGGGUACUGUUUUACACGUGAGACUUUGCUGGAUAUAAAUAUGUGAAUUUUAUUGCAGUAAAAGCUAACAGUAUUAUGACAUUCACAGUUAAAAUGUCAUGUAGAACUAAAAAAAUAACAUUUCUUAUUUUCUCCCAUUUUUUAAAAUAUUUUAUUCUUAUUAAAUUAUGUUUCAUAGCUAAAUAUUUGAUGUUAAAUGAAAGCCCUAUUUCUCCUGAAUAAAAUUAUAUAUAAUAAGAGUGGAUGCAAAUAUAUUUAUAUAUUGUUUUUUAAAUUCUUAAAAACUACAACAAACUAUGACUCAUUUUAAAAAUAUUUAACAUGAAAUAAUAUAGACAGUGUUUUAUUGUUGUAAUGAUUAAUGCCAUGUUUCUUUUCUGCUUUAACCUCAUUGAAAGGUCAUUAGUCAUAAAGCACUAAUAUCACAUAACUGAUUAACAUUUCAAAUCGCCAUAGAGGGAUAAGUUGUUUCAUAAAACAGAUGUAUUUCGGUUUGUGUUUUCUGCUUUUAAAUGACAGACAAACAUAAACAAAGUAGAAAGAUUGUUUCUAUCACUUUUUUUUGUUGCUAUUGACUUUUGUGCUGUUUACUCAAAAGACUGUAUCUCUUGCAAUUUUUUCUCAAUAAAAAAAUAAAAGAAAAACAAGACAUUAGCAAUACAAUCAAUUACAAAAAGCACAAUAUAUUGGUGGCUUGAGACGUUUUAAGAUGGUGGGAUGCUAGAAUCCACCCACAUAAUUUGAUUUCACCCCCUCCCCCGGGAAACCCCACCUCAUAAAAUAUUGGACUCAUUAGAAAUAUUAAAUUAGCUUUCAAAAUUUAACCCCUUCCUGACCAAGGACAUAUCAGGUACGUCCGACAAAAAACGGUCCUUAUGGAACGUGGACGUACCUGAUACGUCUGCGGCUAAUUAGAGCGCUGGAAGCGAUCAUUAUCGCUUCCAGGCACUCUAGUGGUAUUGCAGCAAUGCCUUGAUGUCAAGGCAUCGUGCAGUACCCCCCCUGACUCCCGGGCUCCUGAGUGAUCGCUCCACCUGGAGCGAUCACUUCUGGGUUGUUUCACGUUCUGGGUUGUUCCACGUGGAGCCUGGCAGUGAGGCAGAGAAUAAGAAGCCAUCACUCAAGCUUCCGACGCGCUGCCUGCAGGGCCGGAUUAACAUAGGGGCUGAUGGAGCUGCAGCUCCAGGCCCAGGCCCAUGGAAUAGGCCCAUUUAAAAAAAAAAAAAAAUGUAACUUUUUUUUUUUUUUUUUUACACACACUACUCUUAGGUUUGCCACCUGACUGGUAUUUUACCAGUAUUUGAGGCUGCCUGGUCGUGCCGGUAUUGCAGUAAUACCGGCAAUACAAAUGCAGAUAUUUUUCUCAGUAUAAACGGAGAUUACUCUGUAAUACCAGCACUAACCAGUAGGGGUCACUGUGUGUGGAGAGAGGCAGGGAUAGGAAGUUACAGUAUAUUCCUCCCUGCCUCUCUCUCUCACUGAUCCGCGGGGGAGCAGCUACACAGCACAGAGAGUCCAGACAACAGCUCCCAGCCUACAGAGACAGCCUACAGCUCAGGUAAGUGAAGAAUGGGGGGAAAGGCAGCAGGGAGACAUGGGACACUGAGACACUAGGGGACACUGAAAAACUAGGGGACACUGUGAGAUAUGGGGAUAUUGGGAGACACAUUGAGACACAUAGACACAUGGGACACAGUGUCCCCAUGCCUCCAAGCCAGUGUCCCUAUUGUCUCAGUGUCCCCUAGUCUCCCAGUAUCUAUAUCCCCAUGUCUCUCAGUGUCCCUAGUGUCUCAGUAUCCCUAUGUCUCCCAGUGUCCCCAAAUGUCUGUGUCCCCAUAUCUCCCAGAGUCCACAUGUCUCCCAGCCAGUCCCCCUAGUGUCUCAGUGUCCCCAACUGUCUGUGUCCCCAUCUCUCCCAGUGUCCACAUGUCUCCCAGCCAGUCCCCCUAGUGUCUCAGUGUCCCCAUGUCUCCCUGUGUCCCUAUGUCUCCCAGCCAGUGUCUCUAGUGAAUGUGUCCCCAUGUCUCCCAGUGUCUGUGUCCCAUGUCUCUCAGUAUCCCUAGUGUCCCCAAAUGUCCCCAUGUCUCCCAGUGUCCUCCAAGUGUCUCCAUGCCUCCCAGCCAGUGUCCCUAGUGUCUCAGUAUCCUCAUGUCUCUCAGUGUCCCUAGUGUCUUAGUGUCCCCAUGUCUUCCAGUGUCUGUGUCUCUGUUUCCCUAGUGUCUGUGUCCCCAUUUCUCCCAGUGUCCCCAUUGACUUCCUGAUUCACUGGACACCGCUGUUAGAGGGUAUGGAUUUACUUGAAAGAUUAAAGCAUACAUUAGAGAGAGAUUAGCAUAAAGUAUGUGUUUUCUUAAAGCUGCAUCCUUUGAGUUUCCCUCCAACACCAUCUCCAUUAGAUACUUGACGCUUGAGAGGUAUGACUGUUUUAGUGUCUAUGGUCGAUAAGAUUCUUGUCAUGACUGCUAGUGUGGUCCAGCACGCAGAACUAUGUAACAUCUACAUAGACAGAACAGAAAAUGAUAAAACGUAAACCGGUCCUUAGAAUGGCCGGACUAAUACGUUAAAAACAGAGAAUGGUCAAGGGAGCCGGAAAUAUUCAAUACCAUUUAACAAGCCAAGUCAGGGAAGCCAGGAAUCAGAAUAGUCAGGAAUAGCCAAGGUCAAAAUACUGGGAAUAUCAAAAACAGGACAAGAAAACGCACUCUCAGGAUUCAGGAACCAGGAACGAAAACCACAAAAACAGCGCAAUAACCUAGGUUAAAUAUCCCUCUGGCCUCUGACUGCAGAACGUGUGCGUGUGUGUGACCCUGGGGUGCAGAGCUAUAUCUGGCUGUGACCGCAUGUUCGGCACCAUCUUGAACCCGGGCAGGCAGCCAGGAGAACCCGGCAGAGCGGCUCCUGACUCGCCGCUGAGCAGGAGAACCCGUGAGAGCGGCUCCUGACUCGUGGCGAGCCGGGGGCCGUGACAAUUCUGUAAUUAGGCCCCAUCAUAAUUGUCAGCACCAGGCCCACUGGGCUCUUAAUCUGGCCCUGGCUGCCUGUAGUGAGUGCCUCGAGGGGUAGAGGCACUUAGUAGAAUAAAUAAUAAAAAAAUAUAUUACAUUUUGUUUUUAACCCCUUCCCUCCCUCUCCCAUGUACUUACCCGAUCGCCGCCGUUCCCCCACCGGCGAUCGGUCUUCUUCACAGCCCAGACAGUCCCUCUCUGCAAAAAAGGACCCCAGUGAUCGCUGCAAUAGGUGUCUAUAGUGCUGCCAGCAGGGAGACUGCCUGAACUGACAGGCAGACCCCCUGCUGGUGAAAAACGUUUUAAAAAAGUUUAAAAUAAAAAAUAUAAAGUUAAUAAAUAAAAAAAAAUAUAUUUAUAUAUAUAUAUAUAUAUAUAUAUAUAUAUAUGAAUAUAUGAUAUAUAUAUAUAUAUAUACAUAUAUUAUAUCUAUAUAUAAUAUGUAUAUGUAUAUCUUUUAUAUAACGUCAUGCUAAGUGUAUUUUUUAUUAAAGGACCACUAUAGUGCCAGGAAAACAUACUCGUUUUCCUGGCAUAUGAAUACCCUGAGUGCCCCCACCCUCAGGGACCCCUCCGCCCAGCUGGAAAGGGGAAAGGGUUUAAACUUACCUUUUCCAGCGCUGGGAGAGCUCUGCCUCCGAUCACUCCUCCGUUCAGCCCCGCCCGGCAGAUCGCCAGCGGCAAAGGCUUCUUGGCAGCGCGCAUUCAACUGAGUAUAGGAAAGCAUUUACAAUGCUUUCCCUAUGGGCGCUAGCGUGCUCUCGCAACGAAAAUCACAGUGCAGGAAGCGCUAUAGCGCCCUCAGAUGGCUGUCAAUGGGACAGCCACUUCUGGGAAGACGGAGGAAGGCUUAGCCAUUAAUAAACAUACUUGAAGUUUCUCACCAGAGCUGCUUUAUGUUUAUUAAAAAAUGGGUUAACCCUAGCUGGACCUGGCACCCAGACCACUUCAUUAAGCUGAAGUGGUCUGGGUGCCUAGAGUGGUCCUUUAAUAUAUACUUAUAUUAAUAUAAAAACACACUUAGAGUAAAAUUAUUACACGUUGUAUAUAUAUAUUAUUAUAAAAAAGAAAUAAUAAUAAAAAAUAAAAAAAUUAUUAAAAUGUUUUAAACAUUUUAUAUAUAUAUAUAUAUAUGUGUGUGUAAUUUUAUUCUAACUGUAUUUUGAUAUUAAUAUAUUAAUAUAUAUAUAUAUAUAUUAAUAUAUAUAUAUAUAUAUAUAUAUGAAAAUACACUUAGAAUAAAAUUAUAUAUGUAUCUAUGUAUAUAUAAAUAAAUAAAAAUAUUACAAAAUAUACAUAUGUCCAUAUACAUAAUUACAUAAAUAAUUUUAUAAAUAUACACAUAGACUUCAAAUAUAUAAAUAUGUAUAUAUAUAUUUAAAUUAUACGUGCAUUUUUAUGUAAUAUUUUUACCUGAUUAAGUAAUUUUAAUUAUUGCAAUUUGAGGGACCUGCCUGACAACCCAUGCCGAAAGUCCAGAGAAUUUAAUUUGCUAGCACUGUAUUUAACACUGUAACUUUCCAUGACACCCUAAAACCUGUACAUGCGGCCUACUGUUUUACUCGGGAUACUUCGCUGAACACAAAUAUUAGUGUUUCAAAACAGUAAAACAUAUCACAGCGAUGUUAUUGUCGGUGAAAGUGAUGUUUUUUGCAUUUUUCACACACAGAUGGCACUUUCACUGAGGAUAUCAUUGUUGUGAUUUGUUUUACUGUUCUGAAACACUAAUAUUUGUGUUCAGCUAAGUCUCCCGAGGAUAACAGUAGCCCCCAUGUACAGUUUGUAUAGUGUUUUUGAAAGUUACAGGGUCAAAUAUAAGACCCGUUUUUUCACAUUGAAAUUUGCCAGAUUGCUUAUGUUGCCUUUGAGACCAUAUGGUAGCUAUAUGGUUAUAAAAUUUGUUUUUUUACAUUGUUUUCAUCAUAUUUUAUAAAAAAAUUUAUAGUCAUUUAUAUGAUAUGAUGAAAAUAAUGGUAUCUUUAGAAAGAAAAGUGCUGGGUCUGGGGGAAACUUUCUAGAAGGCACAUAGUGCUGGGUCUGGGGGAAACAUUUCUGACCCUACUGACAAAUCACCUCCAAAUCUGAAUACAUACUAAAUAUCUGAUGUAUGUAAUGAUUGGCUGAUUUUAAGAGAAUCAGGAUUAGUGUUAACCUAGUAGCAGGGAACAUUAGUUAAUGAUUUGAAGGUUCCAUCAAAAUCCCCCUAACUGGCACUAUCCAUGGAAUGUAUAUAUACAGACUCACAGGAGCUUGUUAGAGACAUAACUUAUUUCCAGGAUUCAACUUGAUUUAAUAUUGUUGGAGAAACUUUCGGAAUAGUUUUAUAUUUUUGGAGAAACUACAAAAUAUUAAAAAAAUUUAAUAUUCUGAUAUUUUUUUAAAUAUUAAGAUUUUGUUUAUAUAUUAUAUAUAUAUUAUAUUUGAAUAUGUUGGAAAAAUAAUUUUAAAAUUAUUCAAAAAUAUUAAAUAAUUUAGAAAUCUUAUCUAACAAUAUUAAAUCGAGACCUAUAUUAAACCAGACAAAUCUUCUUGUAAAUAUUUAUAAAAAUAAAUAAAUAAAUAUAUUGUUAUAUUUCUUCUGUGGAAUUCAUAUAAGCAUUUCACAAAUAGUUAAUAUUGUUAGAAUAGGUGUUUUUGGCAACCAGUGAAAUUAUUUACAUUUUAGCUGUUUCCCCAAACAUAGGGUGUGACGUUAAAUGGGUGCACAAGCAUGAAUGAAUAAGCUGUAUGUGUAAGAGUAUGACAAUGGCAAGUGAAGAGCUGGGCCUUCUAAACAAUCUGCAGGGCUCUGGGCAAAAAGGGCAACCUUCGAGCUUACCGAUUAAUUCGAUAUGGCGAGCAGUUUUUGACAUUUCUAAGUGUCAGAUUUGGUAGACACUUUUCACACUUGUGUUUUUAAAUUUACUAUUGCUCUCCAGAAAUCACACUCUGAAGUUAAGUUAUGACCAAGAAAUUACUUAAAACACAUUUUUGUUUGGUGUUAAAUGUAUGGGUGGCUGGGUAUUUAAAUAUAUGCCCUGUUUGUGGUUCUCGGAGGAAAAGCUUUUAUAAACACUGUUCUGCUCUAUCUGUGAUUUAAAGAUUUGAGUUACUUGCUUAGCUGGGCAAUAUGGGAGGUGUGAUUUGAGUCAUGUUUCUUCUAAAUGCAUAAUUCUGUGAAGACAACACUGCCGUGGGGAGCUAUAUACUUAUUACUUUUUUUUUUUUUUAUACAUUAUGCAUGAACAAAUUUUCAUGGAAUGUUAAUCCUUGUGUUUUGGUUAUUUGAUAUAUUAAAUAUAGUCACAUUGUUAGGUUUCUUCCAAAUCCAUAAAAUCUACUGAUUUCAAUUUACCGUUGUAAUUGGCCACAAAGGUAAAAAGUAAAAGGGAAUUACUCAUACUACCAGCUUUUGUAAGUUUAAUUUAGUAAGUAUGUGGCAUAUGUAUGCAAAUUAAUAUGCAAAUGUAUAUGUAUAUAUAUUCAUACAUUUAUAUAGAUAUUGCAAGGAAAUUAUAAGAAGUUUCACUUCAGUACACUGUAAGAGCUAUGCUACCUUUGACUUAGGUCAAGGCCAGUGAAACAUAAAACUUUAUUUAUAACAUGAGUGUUAAAGAUGCAAUUACAAUGUCCCUGGAUCCCCUUUUUGGACACGAUUCAACAGAACCCCAACAUAGCUGGACUCCCAACACAAUGAGUAAAGCACAAAACCUCCUGUGCGGAUGAUAUAGUCUUUUUUGUAACUAAAGCCCACAUUACACUGCCAAGUAUUCUCCAAGAACUAGGGACAUAUGGCAAACUUAGUAAUCUAAAAAUCAAUAUGGAUAAAUCAGAAAUCUUAAAUGUCUCUGUGGAGGAAAUGGAUGCCUCCAAAUUUCAGGAAAACUUUCCUUUAUGGUGGUGCCCCAGACAGAUUAAGUAUUUAAGGGUUCAGGUACCUGCGGGCCUCUCCCUACUAUAUCAGCUGAACUUCCCCCCUUUAUUAAAUAGAUUAUGGGGUUAUUGAUCUGCCCAGCCUGGUCAAAUAUUGUCAAGCCACACAUCUGACCUGAAUAGCAGAGUGGCAUGGAAGGUCCCGAACAUAGACAAAAGUGGAAAAAGAAGAGGCUGGAGAAGCUCUACCAGGGGCAAAAUGGCUAGAUAGGCAGGAAUCACGACAGCACAUACACAGGCACCCAUUGAUAGGGACAUUUUGUACACUUUCAGAUUUAGAAUGGACCUAUACAUGUCAAGGGGACCUAUGUACACGCUGACAACCAACUGGCUUUCCCAGAAGGCAUGACACAUGAUAAUUGUGCACUUAUACACAGGGCCGUCUAUAAUAUGAUUAGGACCCUGGGCAAUGCAUUUUCUUGGGCCCCAUGGGCCCUGUCCCUGCCACUGCCUCACCCCCCAAUUACGUCCAACCCGCAAUCACACUGACAGACGUACUGGCACAUACACACACAGACAGACAUUAAAACAUUCACAGAUACAUACUGACACACAAAGUCACUACACACAAAUAUAUACUGGCAGACAUACUGACACACACACAGACAUACAUACAUACACAGACACAUACAUUAACAGAUAUACUGACACACACACAAACACAUACACUGACAGAUAUACUAAAACACACAGACACAUACACUGACAGACACAUUGACACACACACACAGGCAUACUGACAUACACACACACACACACAGGCAUACUGACAUAUACACAGACAGACGUAAUGGCUGAUACAGACAGACAUUAAACAUUCACAGAUAUAUACUGACACACACAUACACUGACAUACAAAUAUAUCCUGGCAGACAUACUGACACACACACAGACAUACAUACAUACACACACAGACACUUACACUGACAGACAUACUGACUGACACACACAUACACACACAGACAUACUUACAUACACACACAGACAUACUGACACACAAAGACAUGCUGACACACACACACAGACAGACUGGCACAUACACACAGACAGACAUUAAAACAUUCACAGAAACAUACUGACACACACAUACACUGACACACAAAUAUAUCCUGGCAGACAUACUGACACACACGUACACACACGUACACACACACACACACAGACAUACUGGCAUACACACAGACAUACUGACACACACACACACACAGACAUACUGGCAUACACACAGACAUACUGACACACACACACACACAGACAUACACAGACAUACACACACACACACACACACUGACAUACACACACAGACAUACUGGCAUACACACAGACAUACUGACACACACACACAGAGACAUACUGGCAUACACACAGACAUACUGACACACACACAGACAUACUGGCAUACACACAGACAUACUGACACACACACACACACACAGACAUACUGGCAUACACACACAGACAUACUGACACACACACACACAGACAUACUGACACACACAGACACAGACAUACUGGCAUACACACAGACAUACACACACAGACAGACCUACUGACAUACAUUUAGCCACCCUCCAGGUUCUUAACUUUUUCUGGAGGGUGGUUUCCCUGGUCCAGUGGCAGGCUGAGGCAGAUGGGAGUUCUCCUCUGGAACUCCCCUCCUCCCGCGCGGCUAUCUCCGGUGGGAGGAAGUGACGUCACUUCCUCCCAGCCGGCUGCAGAACCGGAAGAGGGGCCCGGUCGCGCUGUUUAAGUGCCACAGCGCCCGACCGGGCCCCUGCUGACACAUGCUCCGGGGGCUGCGCAAAUCGCGGGGCCCACAGAGCAGCUGCUCUGGGCCCCCAGGAGCAACUGGGCCCGGGGCAGCUGCCCCGUUUCCCCCGCGUUAAAGACGGCCCUGCUUAUACAGGAAAAAGCCACUAUUUUUGCAAAAGACGUCUGCAUAGAAGAAGAGCUGAAACCAGCGCAUCAGCUCAUUCCGGGUAGGCAACUCACACUGUUAAAGAGAUUCUAGUUCCACCAACAGAUGCACUUCUUUCGCUCGAUAACUCCAAAGAGGGGACUAGCCAGACCACUCACACAGUUAGAAAACUUCUGCGCAUGACGGGAGCCCCUCUGGCAUAUUUCCAUCGCCCUUCAAACAUGCAACUGUAACCCCAAUUCUAAAGAAGUCCAACCUUGACCCUAGCUCCCCAUCCAACUACCGUCCUACCUCGCUACUGCCUUUUGCAUCCAAGAUCCUUGAAAGAGUUGUGUAUGCAAGAUUAACAGACUUCCUCGAGUCUAACUCUCUGCUAGAUCUGCUUCAGUCUGGUUUCUGCGCUAAGCACUCUGUGGAAAUGGCACUGACCAAAGUAUAAAAUGAACUGCUCGCUGCAAAAUCUCGUGGUCACUACUCUAUCCUAAUUCUCCUUGACCUGUCUAUGGCUUUUGACACACAUCAACAGCUUCUUCUCAUCAUCCGCAAUAUUGGUCUACAAGAUAUUGCUCUCUCCCAGCGCUCUUUCCUCUACUGUUCUCUAUCUAUACUGCCUCCCUUGGUAAACUCAUUAGCUCCUUUGGCUUCCAAUAUCAUUUAUAUAUAUAUACACACAUAUAUAAAUCUAAUACAUAACAGGUGCAUUCUGUGCUGAGGUAUAUUGCCACAGAUCUCUUAAAUUUUUUUAGAUUGAAUGAAGAUUUGACUGUGUCCCUGAAGUUCUUCCAUAAUUGCAGUGCUUUGUAGAAAAAGGAGGAUCAAGCCACUUUAUUUUUGUAUUGCGGUAUGCUAAAUAUUGUGCUAGUACUGGAUCAGAGGCUGUAGGAGGUGGGAACAACCAGGGAGGGCAUCUACUCAGGUAGGGUGGGAGCUUCCCAGAAAUGCUCUUAUGCACAAGGCUGGAAAGAUGAAGAGUGCGUCGGGAUUCCAGCGACAGCCAGUUUAGCUCUUUUAACAUGUCACAAUGAUGGGUAAAGUAAUUCUAGUACAAAGCGGCAGAACAAAUUAUAUAACUUAUUAAGUUUAUUAAGGUGGGUUUGCGGUGCCGGUGCAUACACUACAUCCCCAUAAUCAAUGACCGGCAUUAGCAUUUGUUUCCUUACUGUAGGGCUUAGGCAGGACUUGUUCCUUUACAGGACACCUAGUUUUGGGUAAUAUUUUGAAGACAUUUUCUCAAUGUGAAGGCCAAAAGAUAGAUUGGGGUUUAGCAACAUACCUAGAUAUUUGAAAGAACAUACUGCUGCCAGUGUGCUAUUUGAAUUUGUUCUGAUACACAGUUGUUGAUUUUGUAGUUUACGUAAUUUAGGUACAGUUCCAAAGAUCAGUGUAACGGUUUUGUCAGUGUUUAGGAAGAGAUUGCUAUCCGCUGCCCACUUUCCUACCUCUGUGAAUUGGUUUUGGAGCACAGCCUCAAGCUGCGGUAGCUUGGGUUUACUAGCGUAGAUUACAGUGUUGUCUGCAUACAUGUGUACAGUUGAGGAUUAUUAGCUGUAAACUGUUAAUAAAGCAAUACUGGGACAAGGAGAAAGGGAAAAGGCAAAAAGUAAGUGAGUAGAAAAAGGGAAAGAACUAAUGCAUGCAAUGUUUGAUGAAUAUAAGUGUGAGAAUUGCAGUGUAUAAUUGCAUAUAAACUAACUAUGCAAGGUCUAUGUGUUACAACAGAAAAUAUUGCUGAACACCUAUUUCUGUAAAAUCCUUUAUUCACUGUGUAAAACAUGAAAAUUCUUGCUAUAAGUUAAGAUUGUCAAAAAAAUAAAGACGCAAUUACAUUCUCGCUAUUUAUACCUGGCCAAUAGAGCCACAAAUGCAUUUACAUUGUAUAUUUUUGCUGAUCCUAGCGCAAGAUACUUAAAUAUUACAUGGAUACAUUUAUUAAGAUUAUAAAUAUAAUCAAUGCUCUUCUUUUAGACAGAGCAACUAAUGAGUCCGAUGAACUGUCUCUCCACUUAGUACUUUAAAUUUAAACGUGUCAGGUUGCGCAAUUGCCUGUCUGCUCUUUGAAAGGUCUGGAUUUAUAUUAUUGUUGCUUCAUCCCACACUGUGAGUUUUGCCUUGAGAAGCACAUUGCUUUCCUCUGUGUUUAACUUUAAAUUGGAUGAUGUAGACGUCAUAUUGAAUGCACUGUAGAAUGCCAUACACAGCAGAGAUUUUGUUUUUUUUAAAGGGGCAGGAUUGGUCAUUAUCCGCCUUCUUGUUUGAGAAGCGAAAGAAUUAGGUUACACUUUAAUAGUAAGUGAAUGCUUUUAUCCUUUUUUUGUUUUGCCCCUUUGUGUUCUAUUUCUGUAGCAGUGAUGAUCUUGAGCUUGGUCCUCAGUACCUCAACAACCCCCUGCUCAUUUACAGAUGGAUUUUUGAGUUGGGACAUAAUGCUGGCAAACACGUUACAGGGCACAUUUGUAAACGUAAUUCAUCUUAACGUGGCACCAAUUAAUGUCUACAUUGAUGCUGUGCCAAAUCACUGCAUCCCUUUAUGUUACACUGAAUCUAGUUGCCCAUUGGACAGUUUGGCAUGGCCAACUCUUUCUAUAGCCUAGCACACAUGAAUAAACAGGUUUAAUCAUGUAAUGUAUGCUUUAGCUGUGUUAACUGUAAAUUCAGGGCCAGAUCUCCCAUUAGACAGAGUAGGCACAUGCCUACAGGUGCAUAUCAGAUAGGGGCACCACAGGUGCCUACUCCGACUAUCAGAAUAUUACAAGCAGCCUCCCCAACUUUACACCAUACCCAACAUUUCAAAUGGGAGAAGAGGGACAUUUUUAUUUUAGUGGAGUGAGCGGGGAUGUGGCCAGGGGCAGAGCUGUUAUGAGAAAAAUUAGGUGACUUACUAAUAACAAUUUAAGCAACUAAUAUGUCGUUUAAAACAAGAACAAUGUAUAUUACUUACACAGACUGAUUUCUAAACACAUUAAUUUUAGGUUUAAAGAGACAUUACUUUAUAGUGGCUGUGUAGCUCUGUAAUACACUCAAACACACCAACAAUAUGGAGCUCCUAGGAAAAAAAUGGACUUUAGGAUAGAAAAGAGGCACCUGGUGAUUUGGGCAAAAAAUUAGGACUGUCCCUCCUUAGCAGGGACUCCUGGGUAUGCACACCCACAAACCUAUGUUCUCAGAGCACAGCGUGCAGUCCAGUCGCUUGCUGCCUUUAAAUACCCAAACGGUUAAAACAGCUGAACAUUUUUUAAAAAUGUUGCUAUAUACACGUUUCAGAUGAAUGAGGGAACACAUUAUGCAAAUGUAAAAAAUUAUGUGAAUUAAAAUAAAAAUGUACAUCAGAAAGAUAAUCUAUUCUAUUUGCGAUAUAAAAUAGAUGGCAAAAGUAGCUUAGGUUAUAAAAUUUAAUCUGACAAUACAGCAUGUUCCUACGGAACUCCCUUGUCUUUUUGUCAAUAUUAGUUACCUAUCCAUAUACCCACUUGCCCAAAGCAGGAAAAUAUUUAAUUACUGGGCACCUAGCUCAAAACUUUAUCAUCUUGUGAAUAUUCUGCAUUCUGGGAAAUAAUUUUACGUGAAAAGACUACAAACAUUCAUUAAUCUUAAAAGAAAAUGUAACUUUAUUAUUUUAUUUCUUGAAAAAAAUUGAAAAAUAAAAGAGAAAAAUAUGGAUAAUACUGUCCCUUUAAAAAAAAAUCUCCUCUGUGCAAAGAAAAGUAAUUACUGUGUAGGACAGGACUGCAGUGAGUUCUGAUUAAGCCUGAAUAUAAGGCUGAAAGAACAGCAAUAGCUGUUGCGUCUGGAGAAAGACUGCCUUGUCAAUUGCUGCUGGGUUGAUACUGAGUUAGAAAGACUGAUGCCAAAUGUGUCUCGGAGCGCUGACAGAGCAUUAGGCAGGUAUGUGCAGAGAGUUGUGUCUGCGUAUUUUUGUUAUGAUUUUAUAUUUUCUGUUUGUGCUACAGUCGAGAAAAAAAAAUUAUGCUGAAUCCAAUUUCUUACAUCCUUGUAUUACUGCAAUUAACGAGACUUGCAGAAAAACCUGAUUACUUCUCAGUUUUGUUUGUCGUUCGUUAACAUAUGUGAGGCCAUUUGAAACAUAUGCAGAUUGCUGGUAUGAACAUACAGGGCUGGGAGCAGCAGAUUAAACAGGUAAGACUGCUCUUUGCCAAAGAAGAGAGUCUUAGACGCUCAUUGCUAUGUAUGAGACUAAAGAAGAAACUUGUAUAAACUCUGCAACGGAGGAUUCUGCUUGCAAGAUGCUGCAUGCAUUGAAGUAUAUAUAGGAAGGAAGCUCUGUCUUCACCGCAUAGUUCAUAAAAAUAGCAUUAGGUAGUUAUGCGGAAAGAACGGAUAUAUUUGAGAAAGAGGAAAAAGUGUGGAAAAAUGUAAACACGUUACUAAACAAGAAAUCCCUUUAUACUUGAGUUUACAAUCUAGAGCACAGCUGGGCAAAACUGUUACAUGUGGCAUGCGUACGGUUAUUUUAUUAAAGUGAGGAUUGUCGGCAAUUCAAAGUAAAAUCAAAAUGGAUUUGAAAUUUAAGGCCAAAGUAGCCAAACUGGAAGCUUCGUUGUCUUGGAUGAUUUUUUCCAAUUCAGCUAUUUUGGUCUAAAAUCUGGAAUUCACUUUCAAUUUCCGAUAAUUCUCAUUCUUGUGGAUAACCAUUUUGGUUAGAAAAAGGUUGAGGAAUACUGAUCCAGAGGAAAAUGUGUAGGAAAAAUGUGUGGGGGUGAGUUGGACAUGCUUGGUGGUAAUGCCACAUGAAUAUAACACAGCUAUGGUAAUAUUGAUGAAUCAUUUCAAGUACAGUUUGUUACUAAUAGAACUGGGCAGAAUGACAGCUGAAAUGGAGAACUAUUGAGGUACAGUUCGGACUAUUGAGGUACAGUUCGGACAUUCUAUUUAUUAAGUGGGGCAGCAGGGCUGGACGACCCUUAAAGGGAUAGCUUUUUGGUGUGCAUUGUGUAGCUGACACUUACAUUGGAGUGGCGAGGAGAGCAUCUUGAUAUGCAGCGUGGACCUGUCACAUGCUACACAGGAUAGGGUUGGGUGAAAUUAUAAAGGAAGAACCAUCUCAAAAUGUAGUGUUAACCUACCACAUGCUACAUAGGGCAGGGCUUGGUAAAAUUAUAGGGCAGAACCUGUGCUUGUGUAGUGGAGACAUGGCACACUCUGAAUAGAGCAGAUCUGGGUGACAUUGGAGAAGAGAACUUUUUAAAAAAUGCCAUGUGAACCUGCCAGACACUAAAUUGCACAGGGCUUGAUUGGUAACACUGCUACUCUGAUUGUUGUUUAAGAACCACGAUGGUCAGCAUUUGGCAAAACUAAAUAUAGUCACAGUGUAGCAAAACUCUGUAACAGCUAAUGGAAAAUUACAGAUUGUUUUCAAAGGGCUAGUGAAUCAAACAAUAGCUUUGGGAGUAUAGUACACGUUGAAAAAAACAAUUGUGUGCCUACCAGAGAAAAUAAAAGGUUAGAUAUAUUCAUUAGAUAAUACAUUGUAGCUACCUAGAGGGUUAAAUACAUUUUGGAAAUUGUAAAAACAUUGUCUAUCACUGCUAGAUUUUGGGCUUGUAAACUGAAAUGUCUAGUUCCAAAACUAAAAUUAGACCUAAUCCUUGUGGUGCAGCCAAUGAAUUACUGAAAUAACCCUUUGCAUCGCUAAUCCAUUACUACCAGGACUUUAUAGAACAAGUACAGUGAAUUAGACGAAAUUUAACUGCAAGUUUACUGUAAUCAAUUGGUGUUAAAGUUUCUCAGUUUCAAUAAAAAAAUAACCAUAUAAUGCCAUUCUUAUUUAAGCUGGUUGACGUUUGCUCUCUGUUGCUUGGGUAAAUGUAAACACAAAGCAGCCCAAACUGUGUUGUUUUAUUGAUACACUGACAUCUAACUCUAAUCCAUUGAUCGUGGGUUUGUGUGUAAUUCUAUGGAUUAACAUGCAAUGUACUGUGUGGUGGACGCCUCUGACAUUUAGUGGGCUAAAGAAACAGCAAUAUAAGAGAUCAUAUAACAUAAAUGUAGAAGGCGCAUCACAACUUUAAAGAGCACCUGUCAUGUAAAAAUGAUAUGGUGUCAGUUUAUUGACGUUAUAAUGUCAUAUAUAUAAACAUGGUUCUUAUCGUAUUGCUGUCAAAUGUAUAUAACACUAUAGAAGAUUCCAAUAUAUACCUCCGUGCUGUUGUCAUGGCGAUAUAAACUGUAGCUGUGCCAGUCAAUGUGAUAUGUAAACACCCACUCACAUCCUACCGUGUUCACUGCUAAAUCUCAAAAUAAUAUGUAUGCGCCAUGUAUACUGGCAUGCUCUGAAACGGAUACACAACCAAACCUUCGAUGUAGUAUAUUUGUAAAAUAUACAUUUCCGGGCACUUUUACAACCUCAUGAUAUGAAUUAAAAUUUUAUUAACAUGUAUUUGUAGACUGUAAUUGUAAACUGUGCUUGCAAAAAUUCCACUGAAACUCACUUUUUUUUAUCCUUCCUACAUCCAUCACCUACCAAUAUUGUAUGGGAGGAAGACCGCAGUGGGGAUCUGCAUAUCCCUCUACGCAAUCUAUUAGAAAGCACCAAACGUCGUGCAGUAAGUGGCCGUAGAGGCAGGAAAAUGACUGCAAAUGUUAUUCCAGCCUGCACUUGAUUCUCUAAUGACAGACUGAGUAAAGAAACAUUCAGAACCUCUGACACUGUACUACUGUUGGCAGGGGUGCCCAACCGUCUCCCACAGCUAACUGACACCCAUCUUAGUAUUCAAUUGUUAUUUUUUUUACUCUGGUGGCAAAAGGUUAAAAUGUAAAAUAAAAGAUUAACUCUGUUCACCACAACAACAAAAUGGUUAUGGUGUCUAGAGGUCUUCGGCGGUGUUCUACGUUAUGGAGUUAAACCACUUUCUAACAGUUUAACCACAAAAUUCCUAUUGAUGAAACCCAUCUUCUCUGUCUUGUCCUGUCCCAACUCCAAUGCAGAAGCCUUUUCCUUGCAUGGUAGUAAAAGGCUGAAAGAGUUGAAGCUCUCAACUUAUCAAUGACCGCCCAUUGAGAAAAAUGUUUUAGAAAGGUGGCCAUUCACCCAGUGAUUAGAGCUUUUACAGUUUAAGCUAAGCAAUAAGGUAUUAUAAUCAAGAUGGCACCCAAAAUGUCAUCAUGCUUAGAGAGUUGGUAGUAGGAGUACUGGAAUCAGCAGAGUCAGAGACCAAUUCCGUUGCAACUACAAAGACCCCAUACCAACAGAGUAGGUGAUUCUUGAUCUUGGAGAUUUACAAUGUAGUCUUAUCCUUUGCACAGGAGAGUUUUCUGGUGAUGAAUAAUCAUGAAGACAAAGAGUUCAAAAAUGUUUUUACAGGGACUAUUUGCAAACAAGCACCAAAGACAAUACUUUGAGAACAGCCACAAAUCUAAAAAAAGGAAAAUAAGAACUGCAAAGGUCUAAUAUAUAUGAUUUAAACAUAUUACGCUAUGUGGCUAUAACCAGGCAUCCCUCUUGGACAAAGUGCAAAUAAUAAUGCAUAUUAUCUUAGGAGUUAAAAUAUAUACUGCUGCGUGGUUUUAGUAUAACUACAGUUUCAUUUUAAAUAUGUAUUAACCAAUAUAAGAUAUUUUGCAUUGUACAUGAUUUUAAAUCUUAUGAAUGUUUCACCAUUGAGACACAGCUGUCCGUUUCAUGUUAGAAAUAUUCAAUUUAGCAUCCAGGGCUUUUGAAUGAUCAUAUUUCUAAAUCCAUUGAUAAAUUAUAAUUUCAUUUUUUUGUACAUUUUUAUUUUGAUAAAUCAUGAUUUUAAAGGAAUAUAAUACACUUUGUUGUGAGGAGGUAUUUGUCAUUUGGAAAGCAAGAUUUGCUCAUACUAAAAUUUUUUCUGAACUGGUUUGUAAAAGUCCACUCUAGACACCAUCCCAACCUAUUGAAUAGGUUAUUUUGCAAAGAGGUCAACUGUCACUGUGUCUCUGCACACACAUGACUUUUAGUCAAAAUCACUGCUGCUAUAAAUUUUCGAUUUCCAAACCCCAUCUAAUUCUUUUGACCUUCAGCAACUGUCAGUUGAAUUCCAUUCUCAACUCAUAACCACCCACCACAUUCUCCUGUCCCUCUCUGGCUAUCUCCUUGUAUAACACCAUCCCCACCUCUGUCCUGUAAACUACAGCCCUGCUCAAAACAUACACCUCAAGGUGGGCAUGUAGGUUGGCACGCUAAGUUGACCCACUACCUACAAAUAUGCUAAAUGCAACUGAAUAAAGUCUUGCACCAUGUCAGACUUUCUCCAUUACAAAUUCUUGUUACGCUUAUACAAUGAAGCCCUCUUCCUUGCUAAACAGUCAUACUUUUCCUCUCUCAUUAAUACAUACUCUCAAAAUCCACAGCAUCUCUUUGAUACAUUCAACUCCAUGCUUUGCCCUGCUGUGACCACCCUCAUAGUAACAUUAUAGCUGAUAACCUUGCAUGUUAUUUUACCAACAAGAUUAGUAGAUUAGUCAGUUAAGGAAAUACUUCUUCUUCAUUCACUCUCCUCCCUCUCAACCUUACUUAGGCAGUGUCUCUACUACUCUUCAAUUCUUAUUCCUGACUACUGAAUAGCCUCCUUUCACCACUUGUCCCCUUGUCAGAUGUUUCUCCCUUUGAUCUGAUAGCAUGACUACUCUCUUUCCUGUGGCAUUAUCCCCUCUCCGCUGGAGGCGGUUUGUAACUGUGGUCACAAAAAUCAAUGUUCUGGGAGAACGGGAAGCAGCUCCAUUUUUUGGGGGCCCUUUACACAGCUCAAGGUCUGGGUCCCAGGAUCCACCUUCAUGUUCCACCAAUGAGUUUGUUCACAGGGGGUGGAGUGUGUAAGGGAUAUCCUGAUAUGUGUGUAAGGAAUGCAUUGUGUGAAUCUGUGUUUGUAUGUGUAAGGGCUGCAAGGUGUGUUUCUGUGUAUGUACGCGAUGCAUUGAGUGUGUGUAAGGGGUGCAUUGAGUGUGUGUAAUGAAUGCAUUGUGUGUUUCUGUGUGUGUAAGGGAUGCAUUGUGUGUAACGGUUGCAUUUCUUGUGUAUGUGUGUCUGUGUGUGUAAUGCAUUGUGUGUUUUUCUGUGUGCAAGGGGUGCAUUGUGUGUGAUGAAUGUCAAUCCUCCUCCAAUUUCCUUCUCUCCCCCUCCCAAUUUCUUUCUUUAUCCCCCUCUCCCAAUCUUUCUUUAUCCCCUCCAAUUUCCUUCCCUCCCAAUUUCUUUAUCCCCAUCUCCAAUUUCCUUCCCCCCUCCCAAUCUCUCCUUAUUCCCUCCCAUCUCUCCUUAUUCCUCCCAUCUCUCCUUAUCCCCUCCCAUCUCUCCUAUUCUCCCCCAUCUCCUAUUCCCCCCAUCUCCUUAUUCCACCCCCCAUCUCUAUUCCUCCCACCACUUCCUUAUUCCACCCCCAUCUUCCUAUUCCAAUUUCAUCAUCCCAGCCUCAUCUCUCCUCUCACCCAGCUCCCCGCCUCCUGGUCUCCCCUCCCCCGCCUCUCCUAUUCCACCCCCAUCUCCUAGUCUCUCCUUAUUCCACCCCUUACCUCAGCUGUAGCGCUGGUCGAAAGUUAGACGCUGGGUAGGAGUUGUCAGGCUCGCCGGACUACGGGAAGUGACUCUGAAUCCGCCGGGCUGGAUUGAUGCUCCAUACCGGACCAUGAGGGCUCGCCACUACAGGGAGGGAGUGACAGGAGGGAGCGCUGAGUGCUGAGCGCUUCCCUCCUGUCAGCACCUUUCCUCAGGCUGCGCCCGGGCGGGCAAAGCUGCAGCCGCCCAAGGCACCCCCCACCCUGCUGGCACCCGGGGCGGACCACCCCCUCCGCCCACCCCUAGUACGCCACUGCAUCAAACUAAGUAUUAUAGUUAUUAUCUAUACUUGUUACUUGUGCAGAUUUUUCCAAUUGUUGUAGUUGUUGUAACAAUAGCUACAUCUGCAGUUGUAGUUGCUGUAACAUUUGGCAACUUGAGGAAGAUGUGAAGUAAAGUAAUCAAUAUACCCUGAGCACCACUGUGCUUUUUAUCCAUUUUAAGAACUGUUUGGCUUCAAUGUACAGCCACAUAUAGCUCUGUAAAUGGAAGUUAAGAACCUGUCAAAGGUCAGCAAAUGCAAUGCUCCAUUUCUUCAAGGACCAUCAGUAAGAAUAAUUAAGUUUGUCAUGUUCUGAAGGGAAGUACAUGAAGGGCCUUUGAUUUAUUCUACGGCAAGACAAACAUUCUAUUUAAGGCUCACUGAUAUAUGUAGUUUACUGAUAUAUACGUUCUUUCUAAACUCGCAAGUAGGUUAAGGUUUAUUUUUGACAAAUUCUACCAUUCCAUAAGGCUUUUUUGCAAAUGAAGUGUAAUGUGGGAAGCUGCUGGCUGCUGUGGUUUUGUAAGACAGUGGGUCUAAAUCCCAGGCAUCUCGCACUUCUUAAAUAAAAUAAAACCGAGAAGUGUUAUAAUUAAUGGUUCUGAGAUUGUUUUACUUUUUAAAAACACUGUUUAAAUCUUUGAAGUUCAAAGGGAUGUAUACCACAAUGCUUUGCAGAAAGCUGUGUCACUAAGCAUAAUAUAGCAGUAGCUAUUGAUGUGUUUAAAUUCAAGCCGCGUGCUUAAAGAAUUUAUACAAGAUGCCCAAAAAGAGGAGUGAAAUUCUAUAUUGUUAGCACCAUGGGUCCCAAACACUGAAGUGCCUGCUAAUGUAUUGACACCUUCAUCCUUCUUUUUCAGUUAAGUUCUGCUUACCUUUUCCAAGGUAUAUUAUUCUCAAACCUGAAAAUUCCAGUGUUGCCCCAGAGCUUGUGAAUGUUGAGUAUCCAAAUGAGUUUUGUGUCACACUGUGUCAUUUGUUCAUCCUGGUAGAACUAUUCACCUGAAGUGCCCAUCUAUCAUAUCAAGAGAAGUUUUAAGUGACUUUGUAGGCUUGAUUAUCUUUAGCCUAUUCACGGUGGGCUCGCUGGAAGCAAAUUUUAGUAGAGAUGGACCAACACAUUUGCUUUCUAAAGCGCUAUAGAUUACGAUGGUGCUAUACCACCCGUGUUCUGCUUCUUAUGUCUGUACUUGUGUCCCAAUCUCUCACCCCCUCCCCACUUCCAGUUAGUUUGGGGGUAAUAAUCGGGCAUUUGUUGUUAUACUCUGGCCUUGUGUUGUUAUUCUGGGUUUUGUAGUUUGCCGUCUGAAGAGAGGUGGAACUUCUCCUUACACGUGGAUGUGUUUACACCGGCACUGGAAAAGUAACAACGGAGGAAACUCUUACAUAAACAUUCCCCAUUUUGAAAGUGCCUUCACAGCACAGGAAGUAGUGUGUUUUCAGACAUUUAGACUUCUGCAACUGUUACAAGCAACCACUGUCUGUCAGGCUAUAGCCACUUACAUCUAACACAUUUAUGUGGGCUUACCCUACAGACUGGUGCCUAUUGGUGGCUUGCAUCAACCAGAGUGCAUAUUGGACAGUUGCUAAUGCUGACACCUUUAAAGGUCUAUCUCCUAGCUUAGUGUUAUCUUAGCCCUGUAGCUCAUGUGGUAGGCCUUUGCCGUAUUCGAUUUGUGGCACUUCUUUUCUGAACUGCACACAUUCAGAUGACACUUCCAUUGCACAAGGAGUAAUCCAGUUUAUCAUCAAACCAAAGGCAAGAUGUCUGGUUAAUGGUAGAAAGAUUAUUUGGACUGCUAACCUGGAUUGAUAUCUGAAAAACAAUGUGACAGAUACGAUUUUGCUCAGUUUAGAUUCUAAGGUUGUUAGAAUAUAAACAGUCAGUUUAGAGAAGUAGAUAGUGUUUAUGAGAAACUAUUAGCACCCAUCCAGAUGGGUUACCUAAUUAACUAAGGAACCCUCCAACAUGAACCCUUAUACGACUUAUCUGUUCUACUAAGUAAUAUGCAGUGUAACCCUGCAUUCAUGUUCUUUAUGUUAACGUUCUGGUCUUGUGCUUAUACUGAGAUCACCAGACUUUGUUCUAUCAGGGACCCUGUAAAUACCUGUUGAAGGUCCUCUAAGUCUGUAUCUUCGGUGCCUUACGUAUAGAGACACAACUGUGACAUUCUUCUUCUUUUUUUUCGUGAUUGCAAUAUAUUUGUUAAUGAAAUGCCAUAACAAUAUAAGUUAGUAAUUACACUACAUACCUUCCUUUCAUUUUGAAAUGUAUGCCAAUUUUUUGAGCAGCUCUGAGUACUGAUAAUGACUGCAUUGACUCACAUUUCAAAAAGCCAUUGAAGAGAGACUCCUAAGCAGCUCUACCUUGUUCUUGCUGUUUUUCCAUUUCUUUAUUUUCUUCUCCUUCAUUUCUUGCUUUUUUUCUGUAAUUUUCUCCUUGGUAACCUUUAUUUCUGCUUAUUAAUCGGUCUCCAUGGUCGGUGACAAUUCUCUGAACACUGAUGUAUGCUUAACAUGGUAUUUUUGUAAUUUUCUUACGCUUAAUGUGAGACCGUGUUAACUUGCUAUGGUGACCACUGGUACUUUCUGUAUUUUAACAUGCUUCUCUACAAAAACUAUUAAAUGAAAAGGACACUACAGUCUUUAAAACAACUUUAGCUUAAUGAAGCAGUUUUGGUGUAUAGACAGCAUGUACCCCAUCGUAUGACAACCUUCACCUUGGGUGGUAGGAAAAGGUGUACAAUCAGAGUUGUUUACCCAAUAUCUAUAUGUGGUGCUGAUAUAUUUCACAGUUGUGUGCUGUGGUGCUCCCGAGGAGUUUAAUAGCUUUGUAUCCAUCCUAAAUGAAAAUGAUCAAAAUUUGAGAUUCACCUCUGAAUUUGGUGGCUCCAUACUCCAUUUCCUAGACAUAACAAUUUCCAUCACAGAACAUGGCUUGUUUGAAACGAAUUUGUUUAGGAAACUGUCACCCUCCAAUAGCCUCUUCAGAUGGGAUAGCUUUCAUUUGAGAUCCCUGAGGCUGGGCAUACUAACUGGCCAAUACCUCAAGGUUCAUAGAAAUUGUAGUAACAUUAAAGAUUUCAAGAUAAAAGCCAAAAUGUUAAAACAGCAGUUUAAGGAGAAAGGCUACCCCAAUAGGUGCAUUAAGAUGGCUACAAGAGGGCAUUGGAGGUCUAUAGCAGUGAGCUUUUGAGUGUUUGGACUCCCAUGGAGUCCAAGGAUGUAAUCAGAAUGAUAGCAACUUAUUAUGCGGGAUGGAAUGUAAUGGAACAAUCUAUGCAGUGUUUCUGUCCACCUAGAGGGGUUCCUUGGCCCAUGUGACAGUAUUUUGGCUGGUGGGUACCUUUAGGUGCGGUAAACAUGAUACUAAGAAAGUGAUCACCAGUUUCUUAAAAUACAAUACUGCAGUUAUUGUAUACUUACUUACCUUUGAUUGCAUUUUGAAGUAUGUGAAUAAAACAUUUCACUCCUUGAAGGAAAGGAUUAAGGAACACAUAGGGUCUCCAAAAAAGAAUAUCGAGACUCCUAUUUCCAGGCACCUGAGGGAACACCACUCAGGGAAUCCAAAGGGGCUAAGGUUCUGUGGGUUAGAGUUGGUUAUACGCGACCAAAGGAGAAGCAAUUUCGACAGACCCAGGGGUUUAAAUGAUGGUUUCUCAUUCUCCCAUUAUAUUUAAUCCUUAUAUAAAUAUUGAUGCAUUUAGAGACUAAAAUCAUUAACUUGGUAACUUGAACUUGCUGUUUGUUAAUUUAUAUUCUUUGAGAUCCAAGGAUUAUACCUUGGUUGUCUCAAUUUCCCAAUUCUGUUCUGAUAGUAAUACUGACUGGACUUUCGGUGUUCCUUAAAGACUGGGUUGGUCACAAGUGGCUUAGAGGAUUUCCCACUGAAUUCAUCGUUCUCUCUGCUCAGUAGUUUGAAGACACACUAAAGCAUUAGGAAUGCAAACUUGUAUUGCUAACACUAUAGUGUCCUUAUCCCUAGCUGUAGCGGUCUCCUUGUGCGAUAAAAAAUCAUAAAAUAAAGCUUAUUACUUAUCUUUUUCAUGUGCGGAGGCUCCCUUGGUGCUGCUAACCUCUCCCUUUCCCUUUGCUGAUGUCAUGGAGGAGGCAUGGCCUCUUCCAAGAUGGUGCAAUUAAAUACUUCUCAUUGAGAAGCAUUUGAAGACCUGAUGCACAUGCAUGGCAAGCACUUAAUGCACACCCAAACUUUGUGUGUAGGGUUAACAGGACAGGGACAUUGCACCCAGACCACUUUAUUAAGAUGAAGUGGCAUGAGUGACUUUAGUGUCCUUUAAGUAUGAACACUUUUGCUGCAAAAUUGGCAACAAAGAAAUAUUACUAUGCAUAAGCUGAAAACAAAUAUUUUCAUAGAUUUAUGUUGGUAGCAGAAAUGCAGUUGUGAAUUCCAUCACAUUCUGACUUGUUCUUUAGAAAAAGCUCCUGGCACAUACCAGUCUGAGAUCUGUUGUCCCUCAUGGUUUUUUUUGUUUUGUUUUUGUACUUAUGCAGGUUUUUCAAAAUUGGCUAAAAAAUAUUUGCAUGUACAGAAUAAUAAAAUCCCAUGAGAUUAGAGUCAGAUGUGUCACCAACAAGAAGUAUGAUCGUUGCCCAAGUGUAAAGUGAAUAUUUUUCCAGUGGUACAAUGCCCUUCAGACAGUGGUACAUAAUGUAAAGAAGUUCUUGAUGUAGAAAAGCUAUAAAAAUGAAGAAAACACAAAAUGGAUAUUUUGCCAUAAAUAUAUAUUUUUUAUAAAAAAAAUAAAAUAAACCUCAAUCAUAACUGUUCUCCUUUAAACUUGUCUAGAGAAGAGACAGAACCCAGUGGCUGUAUUCCAUAAAAAAAGGUGGAGUUAGACUUAUCUCAAAUUUAGAAAAUACUCUAGAAACUGCCUUGCAAUGUUUUAUACACAGAGAUCCUCAGCCAGAAUAAACUAGACUGUAAGGGAACUUCAAAACAUGAUAUUUUAAAAUGUCACAAAUACUUAAAAAUAGCAUGGUGUUUAACAACCUAUUGCAACAUAACUGUGUAUUAAAAUGUCCGUAUUGAACCAGUAACGUCCAUACUCAGUCACUGCUGCCACAGCUAUCUGGUUUAUUCAGACAGUCCGGGAUCAGUUUUCCGAUAGUUAUGAUGGAAGGCUGCUGGUGUCUAGCUUUCAGGACAGUGCAGAUUUUGUUUUUCAAAGACAAGUCCCGCAUAUUCAUCAUUUUACAUCUCAGCCCUUAAAACAUGCUGGUCUGCUGCUUUGAUAGCAAGCCACAAACUGACCACAAAUCUGAAGAACUCCUGUAUAUUCAUUCAGUACUUUGUGGUAACGGUGUUGCCUUUCGUUUUGUGGAAACUUAAACAUACUACUUUUAUAAAUAGAUAAAGUAUCAGAGGAAUCAAAAGAUGACUAACCAUGUUUCACGCCACAAAAUCAACACAUGGAAGCUUCCAUACCAAUACCCGGUGCACAUAGAAAAUACCCUUGCCAAAUUAAAUAGUUGGUCAAGUCUGCAUGUGUUUAACAAAACACGUUGCCGUUUUCUUCAUUCUGGCUUUAGGAAAUCCUUUCAUUAUGGAAAGCUAAACUGAAGUUAUGACAAGGGUAGACCAGAACAGGCAUGAAAUGGUUAAACAUGUGUAUGUAGUCUGUGUGACUUGCGGAUUUGUAUAACGCAAGCCAGCUGUGUCAAGACAACUCCCAGUGGGCCAUUAACACGGCUCUUAGCUCUAGUGGAGAACAGAUUCAUCGCAACUGAAACAUGCUAAUUUUUUUUGGAACAGAAUAGCACCUCUUAUUAGCGUGUUUGCAUUUAUCUGAUGGCCUUUUUCUUUGGUUACGAAACAGACUCACAGCUAUUAUAUGUGUAGGUGGCAAGCCAGACCACUCUGCCUUUCUCCCAACAGCAAGAAAAUUGUAUAAUUUUGUUUUAGGCCAAGAGCCUGGCUCAUAGUAAUAAAUCCAGUGUUUAACGCUUUCCCUUGUAACUCCUAAAGUUUGUGAGGUUGCAAUCACUUGAAAUCAGUUUUUUAAAAUAAAGAGUGUGUGACGUUAUUAUUUACUAAAAUUAGAAUUCUAAUGAAAUUCAAAGUGAGUUUCAAAUUUAAGGCCAGAGUAACCAAACUAAAAACACUGCUGACAAUGUUUCCAGUUAUUUUGACAUUAAAUUUGAAAUUCAUUUUGUAUUCUCAUUUAAAUGAAUAACCCUGAUUGUGUGUGUGCUAUUAAAGGGACAGUCCAGACCCAUAAAGCACUUUAGUUUGUUGAAAUGCUUUAUGUGUUAAGAUUGUGUCCUCUUUUUUCAUUUAACAAAAAGUGCAGAUUCCAAUAGAAAUUGACACUUUUAUCAAUUAACUUUGUUAAACUCCACUGGCUGUUAAUCAGACAGCAGGUCUUGUUACUUCCUGGUUUGGCUAGCUCAGUGGAGCUAAACUCAAGAGACAGCAAUUGCCCAGAGCACCUGCCUUGCAAAGACUUCUCAUUGAGCUGCAUUGGGAAGUCUGUGAUUGGACAGUCACUGAAUGUCUGGAUGAGAUUAAAAGGGGAAGGCUUGCAAAGGCAACAGACAAGGCAUCUGCAAGCUGUUUUUACAUAUACAUCCAAUGAAAAACUACAUAAUUAAAUGCAUGCACGUUUUCAUUGUGGGUACAUCUAGUAAACAGUUAUUUCUUCUUGUUGUUUUUUUGUAUUUGGACAGCAGAGUGUCCUUUAACCCCUUAAGAACACAUGACAUGUGUGACAUAUCAUGAUUCCCUUUUAUUCCAGAAGUUUGGUCCUUAAGGGGUUAAAGAGGAAGUGACAGUAAAGGUGGUGUCUGGUAUGACUAUCAUUGCCACUGUCUGUUGUCUAUGUGUAGCGCAGCAGCUAUAUUACAGAAUAGAGGCACAUAUUUAUUUAACAAUCGGUUAUGUAGUAAUGGUUAAGUUAAAGAUGUUAUUUAUUUAUUCUGAUUACAUUUAAUAUAGGUAAUAAUGUCUUUUUUUUUUUUAAAUUCUGUGACAAGUUGACAAAAAUGAAACUCAACAAUAUAAUGUCAAAUACAACAUUGCCACCUUAUUGAAAGUGCUAGGGUAAUGUCCAAAAGCACAAGGAAGAAAGACAAAGUACAUUUGCAUGUAUUCAUUCAUUAAUGUAUUUAUUUUUAAUAUUUUAAUGAAGUGGGUCCACAUGUAGUGAAAAGCUACAUAUUGUUAGAAUAUAUUUAGAUAAACAAAUGGAACAGGUCAAUGCUUUUAGAAAAACCAAAGUGCUGGAAAUAUACUCUCUCAUACAAAGAAGUGUUGAUGAAAUUGGGGAAUAUCUGGUCUAAAAGAGAACCAGGCUUCCAGAACCCCAGAAUAUGUGGUAGCAAAAACAACUUUGGGUUCUAGAACUUACAGUUUAAUCCAGCUAGGUGAGUUAAGUUGUUGAAGAAAUGAAAUGUCCCAUCCCUAAAAGGUUCCAUUACCUAGACAUUGCACAGAAAUAUUACAAACAUAUGUGGUUACCUUCCUUAAUUUGAUCAUGCCAAUUUUACUAACAUUUGGAUUUAUGUGCAAAUGGUUCACGUUCGUAAAUGUUCAACGAAGCUUAAAAACAUAUGUACCUAUCAGGGUAUAUCAACUUAUUUAAAGGGCUAAACCUACCUCCUAUAUGCAUGCUCUUUAAAUAAUUGACAAAUAAAUUAUACAAAUAGCAUCCAUAAAGCCAUAAAGAAAAUUAUAAAAACAAAAAAUACAUGUUUUAAAGUACUUUACAAUAUCAUAAUAAACUCUAAUACAAAGCAGAAAAAAGAAAACGCUUAUGUUUUGGAAGCCACCUGUUACUAUUCAAAAGAAAACCUUUUUCUUUCCUUUCCUGCAAUCUAUUGGAGCAUAUUGUGGUCCGGUAGUGAUACUUUAAGAUUUGGAUUAUUUUGUAAUUUUCUUUGUGUCUGCUAUUUGUGUAAUAUCUUUGUUUCUGAUGCAAUAAAGUACAUAGUGUACAGGCUUGUUUGUUUUCAUUCUCCUGGUUUCUGUCAUUUGGAACAUGGCUUAGAGUGUUAUAUAUAUAUAUAUAGUUGCUGAAUUAUCUUGUUGUUCAGUCCUAUUUGUUAUUAUUCCAUAAACUAUUGUCAUGUCUGUUCUUCGUUAACGGAUGAGGAUCUCCUCUAGAACUGCCAUGCAUUGAGAGUGAAUAACAAAAUCCGUCUCUAAUAGUAAAGAUGGGCCAUUUUUCAAGCUUAUGGUUCCAUGAUAGACGGCUGAAUACACAAUGCACUCAGUGCAUGCUUACCGAAACCGAACAAACUUAAAGUAACAAUAAUAUUUCAUUUAUAUAUUACACAUACCUGCCAAGGCAUCCAUCCUAGAUAUCAGUGAUUCUCAAAAAAUAAUACAACUGCUGUAGAAGUAGAUGCGUUACGCAGUUUGCAUUGUAUAGAUUUUGUUGAGCUGAGUUUUUUUGUUAAUGAUUAUAUUUUUUAAAUUUACAAAUAAAUGUGGGAUGCAAUUUCAUGUUUAACCCCUUAAGGACACAUGACAUGUGUGACAUGUCAUGAUUCCCUUUUAUUCCAGAAGUUUGGUCCUUAAGGGGUUAAACGUACAUGUGCAAAAUCUAAAAAGUAAUCUUAAAGUAUUUGAAGGGUAUUUAGCAAGAAAUAUAGAUUUUAUUUGUAUUUUUUGCAUUUAAUUUUGUAUCCUCCCAUUAUAACAAAGUAUGCUACUUUCUUACAUAGCUUCAUCUGUUUUGCCAACAGAGGGUAAAAAGUCCCCAUCACGACCCCAUUUUUAUUCCUCAUUUCAGCAAGGCUCCAAACAGUAUGUUCAGUAGAAUUUAGUCUUUCUUGACCCAGACAACUGGGUGAAAAAGGAUAACUUAGUGAAAUUACGCAACUGUAGUCUGCUCUUACCUUUCCAAGUCUACAACAAUUAAACAUGCAAUCUGUCUCAGCAAAUCAAAUCCAUCGGAUCAUUUCCUUUCUGUUACGUUGUAAAGCAAUAUCAAAUUGCUCUCAAAAUAUUGUUUUUUUAAACUCCUUUGUGGCAAAAUAUAAGGAAGUAGCAGAAGGACUCUAUUUCACCUGAAAUUGUUAAGGUCAUAAGAGUUUUGUUAGUGUUCUCUUUUUUUUUUUUUUGUCUGUUUUACUAUUGUUUUUUGUUUGUUUUUUGUUACUUGAUAAUACCGAGUUUUCCUUUGGACUAAUCUCGUAUAUAUGUUUACUGUUAUCACUUUGUUAUCUGAUUUUUACCUAUAUGUGUUUUUUUUUUGUUUUUUUAUGUGUUGCUUUUUUCCUCUUCAGUUGUUAGCUUUUCUUAUCUCUAGGCUUUCCAGUGAACAUUUAUUGCAUUGUAAAAAUAAAUGUAGAUCAUAAAAGGAUUAAGGUAUUUUCUCAGUCCAACAGUAUUUUUGUGGAAUUUCACUUUAAAGAAUUUGUUUUACUGCUGUGAAAUGGUACGAUGGUAUUUGGCGCAACAUUGUGUUUUGUUUUUAUAUAUGCAAUUUUUAAAAGCAAGGGUGUAAAAGACGUUUGGUGUGGAAGCGCAAAAAUGUUAUGGAACCACAAAAGGCAAAUGUAAGUACGUAUACAGUCAGAGAGCUCCACAACAAUAAAACAAAGAUCAGAGUGGGGUGUGUAAAUGUGGCUUCCAGAGCUCCACAACUUUAAAUCUUAAACGUAUGCAUGCAUCUUUACUUUACUUUCUGAUCCACAGAAAACAAAAAAAAGAUAUGGUGUGCAAGUGAACUGAGGAGAUCUACAACAAUAAAACUCCAAUUCAUGUACAGUGGGCAUCACGAAGCACCCCACUCUCUUUGUGCUGCUUUCCCAAAACCUCACACUCAUGAAAAUUAACCACAAUUUCAUUGAUCUGCUCGGAAAUGCCAGGUGGUAGCAGAGCUGGGUGGUACGCAUAAAAUGUAGGAAUUUGUCUAUGUGGCAAAAACAAGAACACGAGAGUGAGGACUUGGGGAUUUGUCCCAAUGCGUUUCCUCUACACUCAAUGUACUGAAGAUCCAUGACUUGGAUACACGAGCCAAGUAGACCUUACAUGUGAUAACUGCACUUAAUAAUAUAAACAUAUACUGGGCACCAUUCUUAAAGUUGAACAACCAACAAGGAACGGUCUAUUGGUAUCCAUGGUAACUGACCUAUACCAUAGCCUGCUUUAUAUGAAUAAUCCCCAGAAUUGCACUAAAAACAAACAAAAAAAACAAAAAAACAACAAAACACCAGAAUAAGUAUGAAUUGAGAAUACAAAUUGAAUUUCAGAUUUUAUAUCAAAUAAAGGCAAACUAAAAAAACAGGUUGACUUGUCCACAAUAAAUUCUUCACCGUAACACUUUCCCUUUGUAAUGCACUUUGAUACUGGGAAGAGUGCAAUUUAGGGAUCGACCGAUUAUCGGUCUGGCCGAUAUUAUCGGCCGAUAUUUGGUAUUUUCGGCAAUAUCGGUAUCGGCCAAUUCAGAUACCGAUAUUGCCGAUAAUAUAUAACAGGACCGCCGGGCCCAUUACAAGCCCGGCGGUCCUGUGGGGGCCAGCAGCAAGCGCUGACUUACCUUGCAUGCAGCUCCUACAGCUCCCUGUGUAAAUCUCGCGAGACCCGCGGCCGCAGAGCGUUGCCACGGGUUACCAUGGCAACGCUCCGCGCGGCACUAAGAGCCGCGAGAUUUACACAGGGAGCUGUAGGAGCUGCUUGCAAGGUAAGUCAGCGCUUGCUGUUGCUGAGCCACCACUGUACUUAACAAGCCACUGGACCACCAGGGAAUACUAUAUCCCCCUCCCUGGUAAGAAGCAGGGAGGGGGGACUAAACAAAAAAUAAAAACAUUUUUAAAUAUUAAAAAAAAAUUAAAAUAAAAAAUUACACAAAUUACAUCACUACACACACACCCAAACACACACUGCACACAUACUGCAUUACAUACACACUACACAGACACAAACACACUCUACACAAACACACACUGGGGGGGACUAAACAAAAAAACAUUUAAAUAUUAAAAAAAUAUUAAAAUAAAAAAUUACACAAAUCACUACACACACACACUCACACACACACACACUGCACACACACUGCAUUACAUACACACUACAAAGACACACACACUGCAUUACAUACACACACUACACAGACACACACACUGCAUUACAUACACACACUACACAGACACACACACACACUGCAUUACAUACACACACACACUGCAUUACAUACACACACACACUGCAUUACAUACACACACACCACAAACACACACUACACAAACACACACUGCACACAUACUGCAUUACAGACACACACACUGCACACACUACACUGCACACACACUGCAUUACAUACACACACACUGCAUUACAUACACACUACACACACACACUGCAUUACAUACACACUACACACACACACUACACAAACACACUUUACAUACACACUGCAUUACAUACACACUGCAUUACAUACACACUGCACAAACACACACACAAAAACACACUGCAUUAUACACACACAAUACAUAAACACACUGCAUUAUAUACACACUACACACACUGCAUUAUAUACACACUACAUUCAUUAUACACACACACUACACACACACUCUGCAUCCACUACACACACAGUUCCCCUGUCUAAAAACACUUCAUCCACUACAUGUGGCAUGUAUAUUUUGUGCAUUUACCUUUCGAAUUAGUUUAUUCAAAAUAGUAAAUGUACAGAAUAUCGGCAAGAUAUCGGCUAUCGGCCUGAAAGUUCGCAGAUUAUCGGUAUCGGUAUCGGCUCUAAAAAAUCAAUAUCGGUCGAUCCCUUGUGCAAUUAAGGCAUUUUGUAGAGUUUUUAGUAAUUAUAUAUUACACUGCAACUGGCGAAUUACCAACAGGCAUAACUUUACAAUCUAAGAAUGGAUAAAAUCACGUUCAUCAUCACUUGAGUUCUUGUCCAGAAAUGCAAAGAACCUUUAUAUUAGGACAUUUUGUUAAGAUAUAGAGAGCCAUUUACAAAAAAGUCCCCUGUGAAAUGUUGCUUUCAAAUAAAAAAAAUGCUAAAAAAACUUUGUGCAAAUUUAAGAUUUGCGUUAUUUAUAAAAAUAGUUGUCUCAGAUUAAAAUGUGCAAUGAAUCACAAAAAGAUUGGCAAGGCUUAGCACAAUACAACUCCCCACACACAUAUACAAAAAAUUACUGUUAUGCAUCAUGUGCGUAAUUCAGUUUGGACUUUGAGAGGUCCUUCUCAGGCAUAGAAAUUAAAAUCAUGUUUCCACAACGCUCCCAGAGUAUGACAUGCAAAUAAGUAGAUGCAGGCUUUGUGUUUCGGACUUCGUAGUGUAUUUCUCCACAAACACUUAGGUAAGGCAAGGGCUGUUUUUUUUUUUUCAAUUUAUAUCAAAUCUAUGUAUGAUAUAAAUGACCUCAAUUUUUAAAGAGACUGACUUUUGUCCCAACUAUAGUGUUGAUGGGGCGUGCCAAGCACUAUAACAACCGUUGCUCAUUACUUAGGAUAUGGUGCCUUUCUUGAUUAGCUCAGUUGCUUAGAACAGCUGUAGUUUGCAAAAAAUCCAGAAUAAUGGAUAAUCGUGUCAUCUUGUAAAACAGUUUUAUUUUAAAUUGGAUUAAAUCAUUUCUCUAAGAGAAUGAGAGAGCGCGAGAUAGAGUAUACACAUAAUUAUUGUAGCAUAUAAUGAUACAUACUUUAUUGGCCUAAUUUUGGAUUUAUAGACAAGCAUUCAAGAGUUGCAUCCUCCCUAGUCCAAGCUUGUCUAUGAAAACAUAACUAAUCCAAUAAAAUGGUUUCCUAGCCUAUCAAAUAAUUCUCACUUUACUGAAUAACACUGAUAGUUUUAAAUGCUAUAUGAAUAUACAGGGAUUGAUAGAUGGAUGGAUGGAUGCAUGCAUGCAUAGGUGGAUGGAUGAACAGAGGGCCGAAUGGAUGGAUGGAAAGUUAGAUGGAUGGAUGACUGGAUAGAUUUUAAAUAAAACUUCAUUCCCUUUAUUGCACAAUUAGAAAAAAAUGACCCAUUCUCCCCGAUACUUCUCCUGACAUAUAAUUAAAAAUUAGUGUUGGCAUUGACAGGCAGAUGAAAACCAUGGUAGCACAUUAAAUGUGUGUCUGUUAGAUGUGUGUCUGCAAUGGUAAAAGCAUCAAUAAAAGAAUCAUGCAAUAUAAAAGAUACAAAAUAGUGAUAUUGGGUUAAGGGAAAUGAAAGCCAUCAUAAACCACGUAACAUUUUAUGAUGUCUGAAAAAUGUAGAAAUAAGUGGAAUCAGGGAUAAUUUAUCCAUUCUUUUUAGCCAAAUUUCCACAGGAGAGGCAUAACCCAAAUACAUCAACUUAGAGAAGAAAAUAAUUAAACAAAUUGGGCAUUAAUUUAGCAGAUAUUAAAACUGAGAGGUGCAUCAUAUUUCUGCAGAUUCUGCUAGCAAUGACCUACUGUUUUACACAUAGCUUUUCCAUCAGAAGAAUAUUUUAGGAAACAUAUUCUAAACUAUAGUGCCACGUGAUCACUGCGACCCCGUUCCAGCACAUUUUGGGGUCACGGGUGGCCUGGACCAAUCAGUAUACAUCAUAGGGUUUAAAUAAUGUUUUCGCUCUAUUUUUCCUUACCCUGUCAUGGUUUCCUAUCAAUGCCUCGUAAAGCGUGUUAUAUUGUUCCCUGAUUUUUCGAUUUUGGCUUGCUAUACUGAUUCUGUAAUCCUGACUUGGCUAAUUAUAAAUUGUUUUUCCGUAUUUCUGGUAUCUUGAUCUUGACUUGUUUUACGUUUACGCUUUCUUUCAUUUUUACAUUAAACUUGGCCAUGUUCUAAUGCCUGGUAAUAUGUCCUUUCUGUCUACUUGAUCCUGACCUAUACUUGUAACUUGUGUAGGGUAGCCGUAACAUAGGAUACUUGACCCUAAUCAUUUAGCCUUAGUUUACAAAAUCAUUCAUUUAAGGGUGCAGUGUGCUUAUAUGCCCCAACAAGGCUAUGGAGCAACUUCCUAGAUUUAGCUGUAAAAUGGAGGUAGGGCUUUUACAAGGUGUAUCUCCAGAUUUGUACAUCUUCUUACUGUAACACUCUGUCCAGUUAUCUGUUUCAUUCCAUCUCAUGGUGUUAUCUGUACAUCAAAGGGGAAAACCUGUUUUAAUUAACAGCAAUCUGGUUUCGCUGCAGCUCCAUGCACCCAGAAUUCUCCAUUGUACCAAAAUACCCAAGCAUCCCCAUGUGCUGUUCUUUAUAGGUCUUGUGACAUAGUACCAAGCCUUCAGAUGAGCCAGAUACCCAAUCAAUUUACUGCAUUUACCUUGUGCAUCAAAGUGGUUGGAGAACAUUUCUUCGUUGAUGCCUGGUGUCAGUAUUCACAAAGAUCUUCAUUGUAAACAAUAAAUGAAAUGAUAACAGUGUAUCUUCCAAAAAUGUGUGUUUAAACUUUGUAUAUUUUGUUGGUUUAUGUGAUGGGUCGAUGAAGAGGAAUCGAUUUACCAAUCAUGCGGGGGUGGAGGGGGUCUCAAAUGUUAAUUUUUCGAACAAUAAUUACUUUACCAAGAACUUCCAAGUUAAGUUGAAUGCAUACACACUAAACAAAAUAAUGUAAUGUUCAGAGUUAUUCAUGAAAAUAAAAUGAUCAGGAAUUAUAAAUUGGAGAUGGUGAAUUAUUACAUUUUGGUUGCUGUAGCCUAACAUUUAUAAUAGUUAUUUCCUAAUUUAGUGAAUAACCCUGUAAAAAAAGCUGUUCUUUAUUACUUUCGAUCCUGAAGAUACAAUCAUAUCUAGCUAUAUGGAUAUUAUAUUUACAGAGUUUAAAAAUUGCAAAACCUUAGACAAAUACUAUUUCCAAGACCCACAGCUUUUCAAGCACUGUGUUGAUUGAAAUGUUUUUGAAUUCAGUACAAAGCUAAACAGGGUAGUCUCAGAUUUCUAACUAAAUUUCAUGUUAUCGAACCAGGUGGCUAAACUGUUCUCUGCCAUUAAAAUGUUUCUGCCAUUGUGCCCUUGUGACAAAUCUGUAAUAUAUUAACUAGAUUCCUCAAUAUUCAAGUAACACCUGGUUCUGCUACCUGUGAAGUAAACAUACCAUGUGAAAAGGCAUUUUUGAGCUAUGUCCAUGUAAUUCAUUAUUUAUGUUGCAGUAGUCUGUAUUACUUUCCAUUAAUGAUAUAACCACAGAUAGAAAUAUAUUUCCAGAUAUCGAUGCUGCGUUGUUAAAGAUAAAUUGUCAGCAUUGUUUGUUAUAAAAUGUUAUUAGUGAUAUAGUCUACUAUUGUAAUACAUCAAAGCUUCACUCCUGCAAGCUAUGACAAUGUUCAUCAUUUCGACUGAGGACCUUUCUAGAGCAUUAUUCAAAUUUUUUAAUAUUUUUUUUACUUGUCUGUAUAUGUAUAUUGGAUAUUGUAAUACAUACGCGUAAUGCAUAUUGUAACAUUGUGUAAUUUUAUGUCUUUUUGUAACCAUGUGGUUAAUGGAGUCUUGCCUCUGUCCUGGGAGAUAAUUUGAUUACUUCCCAAUUAUCUCCAGGAUAGAGAGGAGGGUUUGUGAUGUCACUGUGGGAGUGUUUUGUUAGUAUGGUCUGUGAUUGGUUAUACUGGGUCCCACCCUGUGGGAUGUCCCCUUGCAUGGGGACUUGCAUAAACGCCACUGUGUGGUCAUUAAAACCAGAUCAUCUUGUACCUUUCUUGAAGCCUUGGCUCAUGUUUGGGGGAAGGGAUACCUACACUCUGGGGAUUGCUAUAAUCACUUACUCCCCAGAGUAAGCUCUCGCAAUAGCUUGAUUUGUUCCUGCUACGCUCUCUGGAUUUAGGAGAGGUUCACCCACUGGGAGAUGGAUCCUGGUCGUGGAUCCUGGGUGGGUGGAGACGGCGAGACCCCGGCGCAGCUGUAUCGCUGGAAGUGGGGUCUGCAGUGCUGAUGGUGUCGGUUGGAGUGCUUGGAGUCCUCAGCGAACACUAGGCGCAUCGAAUGGCGGAGGUACUCAGUCGGAGUGCCAGCGUUCCGUCACACAUAUAUAUUUGUAAAUACCUCUUUUUAUGGCAUAUACUGGUUUACGGAGUUAUUGGGGAGGUAGAUUUACUCUGUCUACUCCUGGGGGUUCCCUAAAAUCAUUGUGUGAUUGUGAAUUUUGGAUUGUGACCAAACAGAUAAACACCAUAACAUAAGUAAAUUUCAGGUAUGUACUGAUAUAAAUAUAAUAAUCAAAAACACAUAAAAACGUUAUACCUUAUUUUUGAACUGCCAGUAUAUACAUUUGGAACAAACAUAGACCGUAUGGAUAACGGUACAUGUAUUUUAUUUUGAUUACACAUGAGGAAUUGAGUUAGUUGAGUUUGCAUAGUGUCCGUGCAUAUUUUAUUUCUUUAUCUUGCAUAUAUGAUAAAUAUAUAAAAGUGGCUCUAAAACUUGAAUAGAUUAAUAAUGGACCAAAUCCCAGUUGGUCUAGGGCAGGGGUUGGCAACCUGCAGCACUCCAGAUGUUUUGGUCUACAUCUACCUUGAUUCUUUGCCAGCAUUAUGGACUCUAGGGUUUCAUAGGGCAGCCAGAAGCCUUCAAUUUACUGUUGUAGCACAAUCACGUGGCCACUGGCCAACCAAGGAGCAUGGGAGUUGUAAUAGUGGAUAGUACGGAAUUUCUUGGUAAUACUUAGUGAAUGCUUUGUCAUUCUAUCGUUUGUUUCCCACAGGGUUUUUUUAUGAGAGCGUUGCUUUGUUUCUUGCUCUAUAUUAAACAGCUCUUUGUCUUUCAAAAUUCAAUUUAAAAAAAACAACAACCCAAUUUAAAAGAAUUCAAUUGUUUUCAAGCCAACCACCAGCUAGCUAUUGAAAAUAUAUUAUCCAGCACAGAAAUAUUCAGUUACUCAAAGCUUUAAGAUAUGUUAUUAUUUUUAUUAUUAUUUUAUUAUUUAUAUAGCGCCAUUAAAUUCUGUAGCGCUGUACGCUAUGUAUGUAUUUAAAAAAAUCACAGUACUAUAAACAAAUUUAUUCUUUGGAAAUUUCAUAUAUUGGGGAAACAAUUCAGUCAGUCUUUAAUUGUUUUGUUUUAGUAAUUUGGGUGAGCCAGACCCAAACUUGCGAUCUUUCAUUUUCUUUCUCCACCAACAUUUAAAUGAUAUAGUGACAUGCUAUUAUCUGCUCAAUCUUUCAGGACAAUCCUUUAUCUAUGGCAACUCAAUCUUACUGUUUGACUAGCGCAAUGGUUGUCCUACCUUUCUAUAUAUCUCGUCUGCCACCGAGCAGAGACAUAAUGCCAUGGUAGGGUGGGUCAGGGCUUGGCUGUGGAAUGAGCAGAGCUGUGAUGUUCACAUGUAUUUCUUUCGAGGUUUACCAUACAUCGCCCAGUAUGGAAUGCCAUUCUAACCUAAUGGCAAUCCCAUAGUGAGUGCAACAGAAAUGGGAGUUUGGCUAACAAGAGUACAAAAAUUAUAUUAUACAUUAAAAACUUCUCUUAUGUUUAUUCAGUUACUAACCAAGACUUACUGCUGCAUAUUCUUUUUUCUCAUGUUUAACAGUUAGAGGAUGGUUUUUAUUAGCCAGCAUUUUUCAUACUUUAUUAUUUACAUUUUUCUACUAGUAAUGUCAGAGAAUUUGGUGAUAAAAUAUGCAUAUUUUGAGAUGUUUUAUCUUUGGACAAUUGGAUUAAAUACACAGAUCAUUAUAGUAGAUAUAUAUAUAUUUUUAAAGAGAAACUCAAUGUAAAAUAAUGUAAUAAUAAGACAAGUGGACGUGCCUGCAUGUAAUAAGUAAAAUAUGACACCUCUGUAAUUUAGUGUGUUACCUUUAUUGCUAUUCCUCAUUACAGUAAAAUAACUUAUAUACCUUAUUAAAUACAUGUGUCAGUUCCCUUUGAUAAGCAUUUGCAGCAUGUUGAAGUUUGGGUAUGUCUAACAGACAUUCACUAAAGCCCAGGCCCAUUGCAUGGAGGCUUUCCCAAAAGCAUAUUCAAUUAAUGCAUAUAUACAUAUAGUUGUAAUCAAAAUUAUUCAACCCCAUUGAAAAUCAGGGUUUUUGUUACAAUUUACAGACUUUCAAGCUGUUUGCAAAGAACAAAGCAAAGACAAGCAAUCAAAAUAGCUCAACAUAACAAAUGCUUCAAGUGGUUUCCCCAAAUUCAACUGAAAUUCAACCUAAUUAUCAAUGGGGGCUUAAUCAUUUUGAUUACAACUGUAUAAACCAGGGCUUGACAAAUUUGUUUGGAAUCUAGGAGCCAGCUAAAAAAUUUAGGAGCCAUUUAAAAAAAAAAAAAAUGUUUUAAACAUUUAAAUCCAAUUCUUAAAUUGUUAGUUUUAGUUUAUGUAGCCUGUCCUUGCAGGCUUUUUCAAUGUAAACACUGGCUUUUCAGAGGCAGGACCAGCCGUGGUGAAACUGGCAUGGCUUGGGGAAAAAACGGUGAGUAAAAACACCUUUCUCCUGCGAUCAGAGGGGGCAGGCACCUAAACAGACACACCCACUCUGACAGACAUACACAGACAAGCACACACUCUCUGACUGAGACACACACACACUCUGACAGAAAUACACACAAUCUGACAGACAAACAUACAUACACUCUGACAGACACACACACACAUACUGACUGAGACACACACUCUGAGGCACAUACAUACAGACACACACACACACUGACAAACACUCACGCACACACAUACACUGACAGACACACACAUUCUUACAGAUACACACACACUCUGACAGACAUAUACAUACUGACUGAGACACAAUCUGAGACACACACUGACAGACACUCACGCACAGACAGACACUGACAGACACACACAUUUUCUCACACACUUACUAAUUGCUAUUUUUAUUGAAAUCUACCCAGCCUCCUUACCUUUGGGAGAGCUGAGUGGAUCUUUCUCUGGGGACCAGUGGGGCUGCUCUCUAAUCUUCGUGCAAUUCCUCUCUGUUUCCCUGCGCACUCUCUAUAAUGAUGCCGGGGCUGAAGUGACAUCAUAUUCUGUCUCCCGGCAUUACUAAAUAGCGCGAGGGAGCAGAGAGGAACUGUUGGAAGAUUACUGCUCCCUUGCGUGCCGCCUCCACGCUCCUCCUGCGGCCUGGGAUUUGUCGAGUUAUGGUAUAAACACACACAGACACAAAGAAAUAAUUAUUAAUUCUAUGUAUAUUCUAUACCCUUAAACAUUUUCCAAUAUUCAGUUAUUUAUAUGAAUAAUGUAUCUUUGUUAUGGAUGGCUACAUAUAUUUAUGUGUGUGUGUGUUUAUAUAUGUAUGUAUAAAAAUAUUAAAACCAGUAAUACCAAACUCCCCAGAGCCAGUACUAUUCAGAGGAUUUGAGGCACGGUUGUCUGUGUGGUUAAUUUUCUGGCAGGAGAUCAUCUGCAGUGACAGUGCCAAGAAAAGUCACAAUCGUGAUCUUGCAUCUUUUCCUGGCCCUCGGCAUCGAGCUCUGUACUGAAAACAUUACAUUGUACCAUCCUCCAGUUCUGCUUUUAAACAAAAGCCUAUACACAGGCCUGCUGUUCCACAUAACAGUGCAGGUAACAGCCAACUACCCUGGUAUAUUCAAGGAGCUCAACACUGCUCCCAUUCUUUCUCUUCCAAUUUUCCAUUUACAUUAAAUAUUCCAAAGAUGAGAUCUGGAUAGAAUUUAGAGUUGUGUUUGUUUUCGAAUUGAACAACAGACGUAGGGUAGUUACACAAUUGUGUUCCCCUGAAACUUAGUUGUUGCCACAAUCUUGGUGAAUUCUUUGCCAUUGUCAUGACUACUGUUUAAAGAUGACCUGUCAUAUCACGGAUCCAAGCGUUUGUGCAUCUGUGCUCCCUGAUGGAACCAGGCAUUUUCGGACCUGGUGAUCAGCUUUACAUACCUCUUUACUAACGGCUUGCCAGUCCCUCCAGUUCUUUUUUGUUGUUGUUUUUUUAAAAGGAAGAGCAAACUAAGGGGGGAUUUGGAAAAUGACAACAUUACAAAAAUACCUAUCCACUUUAACAUGUAGACAAUGAGGUGGUAAGGAGAUAAAGAAAAAAAAGGUCAUAUCAAGAAUAUUUUUAUGGAUCCUACAACCUCUCAUUAAUUCCCUUUUUUACUUUUCCUAUUGUUCUGUACUCUCAUCUCAUUAUGUAAUCCCCUUUUCUUCCACCAUACCCCACUCAAUACUGUUUUUCCAAUUAUAAUGCAGAAUCGUUCUCCUCUCGUAUGCUUUCUACACUUUUUUUUCUUUUAUUCUUUUUUUUAUUUGGUUAAACAGACAGGUUUGCACUGACACAACAGUUGGAGCAAAAAGAUCAUUAGGAAAACAAUGGGUGGAGAGAUCAGCCACCUCUCCCGCACCCAAGCCACCACCUAGGACGCAAAACAGUCCAGCCACUACAGCUGUGCCAGGAGAGUCUGUGGUUCAUCGAUUAUGCUCCUGCGGGAGCUCUGGGGUAUACAACAAGCAAUAAGACAGGUUAGCCCAGUAAAACAACAAGAAUAAGAGUUAAAGUCGGCUUUUGGUCCGGAGCUCCGGAUCAAUACGACGUCUCAGAAUGGUCGUCAGGCCCCGGCCCCCGCCUUCUACACUUUUCUGUAUCUAUCUGUCUAUCUAUUUGGAUCUCUCUGUUCCCUCUCUUGUCCUUUCUAGCACCUAUGAUUUUUUUCUAUCAUCUAUUUCUUCCCUCUUUUUUUUUCUAACUUGUGUCUGCUAUUGCACUACUCUGCCAUUUGAGCUUCACUUUCUCUCUCUAUCUUUUUUCCUGCAGAGUUAUCCUUUUCUCGUACUUCUCUUGCCUAAAUGGGUGGAUUAAGACAGUUCACAUUUGAGAUGCACUUAAACAUUACUGACUAAACUGCAGCACAUAGUAAAGAAUGUCCGGUUGUCAUGCCUUCUGAUUUAUAGCUAUAUUCUAUUAUCCAAGUAUGUUUUCAAUUACUGCACCAACACGGAUACAUUUAUCAAAAGACGUUUAACCCGACCGGUGGAAUUAGGGAGGCUAUUUAAUAUGCUGAAAAUGUAUGCAUGCAUGUAUGUAUGUAUAUAUAUAUAUUCAUUUUUCCCGACAAGUGAUCGUCUUAUGUCAGAUAAGAGGAAUGCUUAUCAGGAAGUCCUAAUCGGCAGGAAAAUGAGUGUGUGAAAGAGGAAAUCUUCUUAAUGAGCCAAAUAAGUGUCUGAUUGCUACAAAACAAUUCUAAUGACCUAAUUAAUCAUAUACUUAGUGAUCAAUCCAUUUAUUAAUGCCCGCUGUAUUUUGAUGACAUUGAAACCCUAUUUGUUCAAGGAUACAUUUUUUUCCAAGUAUGAAACUUCAUUGUUAAGCAAAUAAUAAGAAAGGCUUUAGUCUAGAUUGUUAUUGCAGAUGUUUAUAGAGCAGUCGUGGAGCCUCACCAGUGUUUAAAAAUGCAUUUACAGGUUAUAAUAACAUUACAUUAAUCUAUAGCGAUUUGUGUCAUCCGUUAGAUGACAUGAGUUAGAAAGUAAUUUUUUAAUAAAAUUACCUAUACUUUCUCUUUAAUUUUACCUUAAAAUAUGCAUGCUGUGGGGGAUCAAUAAUGCUAGUGCAGCCCUGUGUAUUUAACAUUUUCCAUAUAUGUAUCCACUAAAAUAUUAAAUGGAUAGUUUGCAUUGAAUUUCAUUUUCUGUAUGAUAUAUAGAGCAUUGCUGCUGGAGCCCACUGUCAUUCAUAAUUGAGUUUGUUUUACACCAUUAUUAUCAUUCCACUGUUUAUCAGCCAUCUCUGUAGUGGACUAAUUGCUUGGCCAGCAGUGAUGCUACUGUGACCAAUACCUGAACGAAACUCAUUUGGAACUCCGACACCUCCUUUUCUGUCCAGUAGGACAUGAAUGCUGCCCCAUCCACCACUCAACGCUACAGGAUUCUCUUCUGUUCAGUGUUACUGUACCUUAUAUAUCUUUAUCAUAAAGUUAAUCAGGAUGUGGUAGCAGUGCCUAGAGUUUUGUUUUGUUGUUCAAUAUGAAACGUUAUACUUGUUCUUUAUAAUAAAAACCACAUUGUUUUGUCUUAGUAUGUAUUCAGGCAUUGCUUCCUUUCAUAUUAGUAUUGGCACACUUCCUUCUUCCAUAUCUUAUUUCUUUCUUUUUUUUUUUUUUUAACCAUCUGCGUCUGAAUAUUUUUUCAUGUUUCCAGUGGAUCUUAUCUCAUAGGUGAUGACCACAUCAUUGGUGGGCCAGCAACUAGAAGAUCUCCCCAUAACUUUUUUAAUCAAUACAGGAAUUUGGAGGUUCUGGUCAACCUAGUACUAAAUGUGGAAGAGAUUGGUCAAAUGAAGGCAUAAAAUGGGCAGAGUAACUGUUGUUUGGCACCUAGUCUGAUUGACACAUGGCUGGUCUUAAUGCUUUAUGGCCAUUCUUAUCUACACCAAAAUUAAUAUAAAAAUUUGAAUAAUGCCUUUUAUUGAUUGUUCAGUUUACAGCUGUUUCAAUACACCAUAUUUAAAUGGGGUGCAGCAAUUUGACAUACAAGAUAACAGUGAAAAAUCAUAGGGGGAAAAGGGGCACAACAAUCCCCAAACUACCUUUAUUCAUGAAAUACUUAAAGCUCUUUAUAUGUGGUCACUUUUAUGCUUUUCUUUGAAUGUCUUGAACGGGUGAGGGUGUACUUAUAAUAUAUAUUGCAUGAUUUGCUUAUUAUUUUCAACAGGCAGUUUAUAUUUUAGAACAUCACACUGCAUGGAUGCGACAUCAUUUUUGGAAUUAUUUCCCGUAAUAAUCGGAGAAUAAUAAACGAAUGACCUCUAUGGAGUUAGGGGACUCCUAAUAUUGGGCAAAACCUGAUUAAUAGUGAAUAUUUGUGGCAACAGCCUCCAUUAUAAUGAAAGUUGUUGUUCGGUAACUGUAAUUCCCACUAAUCUUACAGUAAAGCCCCCCUUAACCCCUACUCUAGUCUUCACUAUCACUGAACGUAUACCCCUUCACUACAUCAUCACUAAGUAUUAACCCCUUUCACUAUACUAUCACUAAGCAUUAACUCAUACACUAUCGCCAAGCAUUAACCUUUUCACAGCACUAAAUUAUCAUGUAAAAGAUAUACAUGGAGAAUCGCGUGUUAUGAGGAAAUAAUGCCAUCUCUGUGUUCUAAAGACCUUCUAAUGAUAUAUUAUCAUAUUUUCAUAACUCCUCGUGUUUUCCCCCCACAACAUAUAUAUAUAUAUGUAUGUAUGUAUGUAUGUAUAUAUAGUACUAACCCUUUAAGCUAUGUCCCCAGUAACAUUGCAGUAUUGUUUACAGGGCCUCAUUUUAUGAGUAUCUGUGUGCGUCUGAGUGCUACAAUUUGUUUCACCAUUUAAUAUCUAACAGUUAAUGACACAGUGAACUGACUGAUGUGUAAUCAUAGACAGCCCCCACCAGGAUAUUUCAGCUUUCAGCUUUUGUCUUCGUGUUGCCAUUUUUAUUCAGACAGCACCCUGUAAAAUUAAGCACAUGGUAAAAAAUCGCAAGCAAAAACAUGCUUAAUUUAUCUGAGUAAACAAUGGAUGGUUUCUUGGUUGCUAUGCAAGUAGUCCAAUUUUAUGAGCUGCACAGGAUAAUCUGCUUUUGAAGUAAAAGAAUGACUGUGAUUUUAUAAACUUAUGCUUGCUUUGAAAGGAUCACUUAUUGUCAUUAUUGCUUAAUCAUUAACAUCUUUCAAUACUGGUUCUCAGCACAGUCCUCAUAGAACCCUAAAGGGUGGGGAAGCACAGGGGAGCCAUUCAGCAAUAUAGAUUAUAUUCUUAACAGAGUGACACACCUUUAGUAAUACAGGAGUAGCCAGGCAGAGGUUCUUUGAGGACUCUUUUUGCAUUAUUUAGGAAACAUUCAAAGCACCUUAAUCACUACAGUACUCUUUAGUGGCUAUGGUACCAGGAGGGUACCAGUCCCCACCAAUGUUAGGAGUUAUACCAUUUACUAAUGGUUGACUUAUUACCUGGGGUCUGAUUGACAUUGCUCCCCACCUCUUCUCUUCCAUUAUGCUAGGAGCUUCUGUUGGCUAUCCUGAACUAAGUCCUGCAAUGCAGGGACAGCUCGUUAGCUGACAGUAUCAGCUGAUCGCUCUCAGCUAAUGAGAUAACACCUGCACAUCCAAACUUAGCUCUGGCAGCUAGUGGCACCUUGUGGACUCCAGGUAAGAUAUCAAACCAUUCUAAAAUGGUUUUAUUACACAAUUAUGGUGCCUGGGCACACCUGAUACCAUAAUUACUACAGACACUGUAGUGGUUAUGGUGUCUGCAGUAUUAUGUUAAGAUUUAUUUCUUACACAUACUCAUUGCCAUACAGCAGCAUUAAGGGUGAGCUUAGGCAAGUUAUCUUUGGACUGUUAGACUGAAGAUCCAUGAGGGCAACAGCUGACGCAACAUGCUAUAUAGGCCUGGCAUUGCACUUUUUUAACAAACAUUUCUAAAAUGCUGUCUGGAGCAUAAUGUGCUUAGAUAGGGGGGUUUUUUUUGCUUGUCUUGUUAGACAAUAAUAAUUCAAAUAUUUUAACGAGAGACAUCUUCAUAGGCACAUUGUGUACUACCCAAUAUAACAAUUACAAAACCAAAUGUAACAUUGGAUGUAACAAUAAUGUGACUGGUUCAAUCUUCCAAUGUUACCAUUUAUUUAAAGCCACUCUUUCGAAAAUGUAUUGAGACAAUAUCCUCUAUAUAUGAUCUAUGCACUGAAGACAUUACUUUUCAUAUGGAAUAACUCUGACAUUUCCCUUUGGGCAUAGUCUUUGCUGUGAAAAUGAGUAUACCGCCUAAACGCAUCUAUUUAUUCUGGCCUAUCUCUGCUCCAUUAAGAAAUCUAACAUAAAUAAAUGAGAAGAUACAAUAUACUGCUUUGCCUGAUCUCACAAAAAAUAGAUGUUGUUUAGGAACUCAGGCACAAAUAAAGACCCGGCCUUUUCACCUUCCUUCUCUUUAUUCAGAAUAAAUCAGCUCAUUUAGCUAUAAUGUUCUAGUAAUGAUUCUGAUUAGACCAUUUAGUUCUGCCCUCAAUUUGGGGUAAAAUAUCAUUACCUCUAUCGAAUCUAUACCAACAUCCAAUGCAUUGUAGAGCAUUAGGGUGUAGUUCAAUACUUAAUACCUUAGGGCUAGGGAUGGGGUUAGGGCUUGGGUUAGGCUUAGGGAAUUGCCAAAGUCCUGAAGUGCCAAAUUCCCGAAUUGCCGCAGUCCCGAACCAUCCCAAAUUGCCGAAGUCCCGAAUUUUGGAAGUGCCGAACUGAACCAAAUUGUUUGCCCAUGCACAUCCCUAUUCAAAACUGAGCUAACCCAUCAUGACUCCAUUCUCUUCAACUUUGGAAGAACAAGUUGGUUCCUUCUGGUUGUCUUCUAAAAGUUAACCACUUUGAGAAGCCCACAGAAUCCAGCCUGUCUAUAGUUUAUUUUUUUCUGGUUGACAGCAAUAACUUGAACUUCUUAAAAUUAUGGAUUUUAUCUUCAAGGACGCCAACUUAAACUUUACCAUCAUCUGAAUAUUUCUACUCCUGUUAAAUUACCCUUUUAAAGGUAUAGCCACCUCUAUGCAAUUCAAAGUUUUCUCAAAUGUACUUUUUAAAAUACAUGUAAUUGAUCUCCAUAUUACAUUAAAAUCAAAUGAUGGGUUUCCUAUUUUUUGAGGUUGAAAAGAAACAAAUUUAAUGGACAUUAUAGGCACUCAGACCAUUUCAUCUCAUUGAAGUGGUCUAGGUGCAGUGCCCCUGCCCCCUUAACACUGCAGCUGAGAAACUAUAGUGUUUUAAAUUGCAGGGUUAAGACAGCCAGAGGUGCUUCUUGACUUUUCACAGGGUUUAACUUGGAAACAAAGCUGCACGUCCUGAUGCUUUGUACGAGGACCUCCAGUGUGUUGCAAAUCCAGCUAGAAAAGCAUUUAUUCAAUGCUUUCCUAUGGGAAAGGCCUAAUGCGUGUGACGCAUUAGGUUCCCCUUGCGCUGACGUCGAAGGAGGUGGAGACAGAGCUAGCACCAAGCUAAUUUUAUUUUGACCCUUUGAUUGCUGCAUGGAGAGUUGGGGGCAGAAGCAGAUGAACACUUUAGAGUUAGAUCUUUUUAUUCCUAACACUAUAGUGUUCAUUUAAGACAUAUGCAUCAUCAAAAACAUAAACCACCACACUCUACACCAAGGCUGCCCAACAGGUAGAUCCCCAAAUGUUGUGGAACUACAACUCCCAUGAUGCUUUGCAUGCCUUUAGAAUGCAUUUAGAAUGACAAAGCAUCAUGGAAGUUGUAGAUCUACAACAUCUGGGAAUCCACCUGUUGGGCAGCUCUGCUCAACAUAGACAUAGCUAUCUUCAAAGUGAUUUAAACAUAUUUAGUAUCUCCUUUAGUUAAUUACUCAUGCAUGUUUUUCUUGUGACUUUAUAAACCAGUUGGUGUAAGUGGGUAUCUCCUCAAGUUGCUGCAUUACUACUAUUGAAUAGUUUAAAUGUACAUCUACCUGCAUAAACUGUGCAACAAGCAAAAUGGAUGUGGGUGCUUGUAGUGCCCUAUGAGUUCUAGAAAUGUUUAAUUUGGAAUUCCUUAUUUUAACAUGCUGUGUUCAUUCUGAAAUUAGUUUAAAGAAAUAUAAAUAGCAAGUACUAAAAAUCAGUAUAGCAAUGUCUCAGGCAUAGGCAACCUUCGUCAGUCCAAAAGUUUUGGACUACACCUCCCAUGGUACUUUGCUAGCAUUAUGGGUGUUAGAGCAUUAUGGGGGAUGUAGUCCACAACAUGUGGAGUGCCGAAGGUUGCCUAUCCCUGGUUGCUAACAGCAUUUGUAUAAUAUCCAAGUUUUGCAACAUAAGAGAAAAAACACAAAACUUAAAUAUAUACUUUUUAAAGUUUUGUACUGAAAAAGAUUGUAUAACACACAAAAAAAAAUAUGGUUGGAAACGUAUCUGUUGUGUAUUACGAAAAUGUUUGCAUUCAUUAUUUAAAUGCAUUACUACCUUAAAAAAACACUCUGUGAUUAGCACAAAGCAUGCAUUCAAAAGCUGCCAAAAUCCAGAUUCAAACGGCAUAAUGUAAAACUUCAUCCCCUAGCUUUCGCUUACCCCACCAUUCUUUAAAGAUCAUUUUCAUCUGUCUUGUGGCUCUGCAGUUUUGUUAACCCUUUAAUGACAGAAUAACAUAUGACCUGUUUCUGGUAAAUUCACUUGACGAACCACUGGAUCUGAAAGGGUUGAAUAUAUAUCCAACCAAAGCUAUUUGAAAAGUUUCUUUAUCAUACUGAAUACAGCAUUUGUCACUUGUAGCAACUUCGGGCGCUUUAACAUCCCUACCGCAUGCUUUGAUUUCCAGUGGUCAUUUUUCCUCGCACACUAUUUAAUCAGUAACACAAAGUUCUAAUUGUUUUCUGCUUUUUGUCUUUUUGCAUGGAAGUUUAUUGUUGCCAUUGCAGCAAAAUGAAGUGGUUUUAUAUUUUAUAUUUAGUGGUUGACGGUAAUUUUUGUAUUGCCAUCACAUGAUGACUCUGAGAAAAUGUAAAAAUAGUGAAAGUUUUGAAUUCGUCAUGGCGGUUUAAUGUGGUCCAAAAAAGAUCCCCUUUGAAAUAUACAUAUAUAUAUAUAUAUAUGUUUUAUAACUAGUAGCAUUGCUUUUUUCUCAGUUAUGGUUAGCUUUAUUUAAGUGUAGUAUGCUAAAGUGUAAAAUACUGAUUCGUAACCCUUUUCUAAUGAACUACCAAAAGUAAAGCAUUUAGCUUAGUUAUGUCCCGAACGGUUCGCCGCGGACUCCAGUCAGCAGACACAUUCCAGCCAAUCAGCAGCAGACCCUCCCUCCCAGACCCUCCCACCUCCUGGACAGCAUCCAUUUUGAAGCUGUAUUCUUAGUGAGCUGUCCAGGAGGUGGGAGGGUCUGGGAGGGAGGGUCUGCUGCUGAUUGGCUGGAAUGUGUCUGCUGACUGGAGUCCGUGGCGAACCGUUUGUGGCGAACCGUUCGGCGAACCGUUCGGGACAUCACUAAUUUAGCUAGGUAAGGACCCUUAAGCCAAACUUUAAAUGUUUCAUAAUGUAAGGUGCUUCUGACAAAACGAUUUCUCUUCAAGUGCCAUAUAUUUCUGAAUCAAUUCAUUUCUAACUUCAGUAUUCCUUGCCCCUUUAAAUGCACCUUAUGGCAUACAUGUAAAUUAGAUUUAGAAUCACGUUCUAUGUGUGUUUUUUUGGAAAACCAGGUGCUGUGUUUUAAGUAUCAGUUGCGUUCUAGAGGAUUCAAGUGGCUUUUUUUGGUUUAAUGUCAUUCGUGUUUUAGAGGAUACUCAUAAACAUGAGCAAAAUCAUGAUUAAGUCAUCCUACUGAGACUGCGUGUCAUUGUUUAUUUGUCCAUUGUGUUUUAGACUAUUUGAGUGUCUUUGUUUUAUGUAUCAGUAUAGAGAAUUCAAGUGGUUUUAAGUGCCAGUUGUUAUAUUCUAGAGGACACAAAUGUUUGUGGGUGCCAGUUAUGUUCUACAAGAUUCAGGUUGAUGUAAUUUAUGUAUCAGUCAUGGUUUAGAGGAUUUAAGUGGCUGUACUUUAUGUAUCAGUCAUGUUCUGGAGCAUUUAAGUGGCUGUGCGUUAUGUAUAAAGUCAUGUUAUAAGAGAUUCAAGUGACCAGUUUUGUAUCAAUUGUAUUCCUAGAAGAUACGAGUGGUUGGGUUUCAUGAAACAGGCAGAGAAAUGUUAAUAUUUAUUAUGAAGCUGAAAUAAAGUUCUGAAAAGCUCUUGUGCAUUUCAGUUCAAGGUUACGUCUUAAUAGCCAAAUGUCAUUAACACCAGGUCCUUAGGAAACUUUAGGAAGACAAUGGACACAUUUAUCAUAAUUUAAGUAGUUCUGGAAAUACUAACAUUAUAUUGUUUGCAUCAUAUUAAUGUUAUGUCUAUGUGUCAAACACAUUUCCUGUGGAUUUACAGGAUUUCAGCUAAUAGUGUAAUAUAAUAAUGGCUUGCAUCCCACACAUUCCUCUGAAAUAUUGUUACAGCUCUGUAUAUAAAACUCUCUUGUAUUGUAGUUGUGGUUUAUUUGUGUAAUUUGUUGAUGUAUAGCAGGUAGAUGGGACCCUAACUGGGUUAUAGCAAUAAUAUUAAUCAUUGUAAUGUCAGAUGGGUUAAAUGAAUAAGAAUAUAUAGAGCAGUAUAAGGAGUACAGAAAUAAACUGGAAUAUAAAUUCAGUCUACAGGAAUAAUAAAGUGGACGGCAACAUGGGAAUCUUAGAUUUGUGACUGUCAGAUAUCUAGUGAUCUAAAAGAAAUUAGGGCGAGGUGUUGAACUCAAGUCCCUGCGAUUUGCAGAAAUACUGGCAGUGCUAGUCACUAAAGCAGAACUUGUGGUGAAGUGCCAUGGGAGAGGGACAUUAUAGCUUAAAAUAGGCAAUGUAAAUCUCAACUAUGUUUUCCAUAUCAGCUAUUUUGGUCUAAUAUCUGCAAUUGUUCACAAUUCCUGUUUUAGAAAAAAACUAAAACAAAAACAACUUUUUUUUUUUUUAGAAUCCCAGCACAGGACCUUUGUCAUUUCAUAAAUCUGUAAAGUAAUGGAUAUCUAAGAAUUUUGGGAAAUGUAGUUCCCAGAUAGCUAAUGUGCCAGGGCAUUACGUCUUGCAGCACAAGGCCUGGUACAAGCAUUUUCACAGCUAUUCAUUCUGUCUUCCUUUCUUGUUUUGUGUGUUGGAUGUGAGGAGGUAGUGUGUGCUGUAUUGGGAUGCUGUGAGUGGUGUGUGGCAUAGGCUAUGAAUGAUGUGAGUAGGGGCUCUGAGUGAUGUAUGGUAGCCACUGACUUAGCUGAUUGCUACGUGAGAUAUGAUCUUCAAUUGUUUGAUUAGAUGUUAAUAAGGAAACCAAAUGAUUACUGGAUUUCAACAUCAUGUGUACUAAACUUCACCACCUUGAGCCACAGUAUAAGCGACUUUGCAUUGCAAUCAAAAUCUAUGCUGGUAGAAAUGAAUAAUUAAUGAGUUUAUUAGUUUAACAGUACAUGUUUGUGACUUGUAAAUCAAUUUUGCUAUCUGUGGGCCCAGACUUAAUGGGAUACUAUUGGCACCCAGACUACGUUAUCUCAUUGUAGUUAUCUGGGUACACUGUCCUUGUCCCCUUAACCCUGCAAUGUAAAACAUUGUAAUUUUAGAGAAACUGCAUUGUUCUCAUUGCAGGGUUAAGACAAUCUCUAGCGGCUGUCUACCAUAUAGCCACUAGAGGUGCCUCCUGCUGUUUCACAGAGUUUUACCCUGUGAAGCAGGACUGUACAUCCUCAAGCUGUGCAUGUGGAUGUCCAGCAUCUUCACAAUCCUUAUAGGAAAGCAUUGAAUCCGUGGCCUAAAGUUCCCUCAGCACUAGAAUCAUGUAAGUAAAAGGGGUUUUUAAUCCUUUCAUGGCUGGGGAGAAAAGGGUGGGUUCGUGGUGGCAGAAGGACACUGUACUGUUAGGAAUGCAAUUUUCAAAAUAUGUUUCAGGCAAUAUUAUGUAAAUGUGUUUGUCAUUUCAUAAUAAAUUGCACUUGCAAAAAUAAAAGGGUUAACUCAGCGUUAUCAAGCUCACAGGCCUUCAGCAUAUAUUUCACAUAAACUGUAAAGAGAAAGUUUAAUGUGUGCUCUUCACAAUUCACUGUUUAGAGAAUUCUUUCAUAACAAUUGUCAGGGUUUUUCAUCGAAGAGGAAUGUCUUUUAUUAGAGAAUAGGAAGGUACAAAGCAUUAAAUACAUAUUUGUAGGUUUGCAAUGGUAGAAAAGAAUUAGAAAGCAAUGAAACCUGAUUUGUUUUUUUCUGGGUGAAAAUAGCCAAAUUAAAAACAUUUUCCAGUUUGGUUAUUUUGUCCUAACAUUAAAGUUUUUUAAGACAAUACCCCUGAAAUGUGUAGCAAAUGAUACCGAAACUGCAAAAUUUCAACAAACAUGUCGAUUUGGAACAAUAAUCCCACUUCGCUGUAAUCCCAGCCUAGCUGUUUGAGCCAAGAUGUUAUCAUUAGGCUUUCAGUUUGGUCAAUACACUGUUUAGUGAAUAAAUACCAAAGUGUGUUUCCUAAAGAAAAGGUGGUAAAUAUUUAAUGCAAGAAACUUUCUGCAUUUAUCUUCUGGUUAUUAUAAAAAAAAGUUAUUUAUGAUAUUCUUUUUAAAUUCUGAAAUGGGAGUUUAUCAGGAUGAAGCUUUUAGCUCAGCCGAGAAGUGUUCUUUUUGAUCGUAAGAUUGUUUCUCAUGAAAAGAGGUGUCUCAUUUUUACGUCAAAGUUCCAUUAUGAUAUACAUUGUAUAUUGAGAACAAGAAUUACAUUUUAAUAACUAUGUUCUACCCAGAAGAAAAAUCGGGAUAUUAACUUGUCAUGAGGAGAGAAGAGAGCCUAUCAUAAAAAAUGUUCCCCACAUAGAAAAACGAACAGAUCUCUUGAGAAAAAAAGAAAUGUUAGUCUGGUGCCUUUAAAUAACUUCACAAUAAUAAUCAGGGCAUAACGGACUAUAGGGUGCAAUAACUUUUUUUUAAAAAUAUUUCAGAGGUUAAGGUAAUCAGAGCGCCAGAAGACGGGUGUUUUUCUGUAUCCUUUAAUGGCCUGCAAUUUCUUUUCAUAAACCUAUUCAUCUAUAUAUUUUACUUGCAAUGUGUUUUACUAGGAAAACUUCACUGAGUUUUAUCCCUUUGUAAGUCGCACACAAACAAAAUACACAAUAAAAAACACAUUUUGCAGCAGGACAAUAUUAAACCCAUUGGUUACAGUUAGGUUUUACUGUAGUUAUUUUAUUAUAACAGAUAUUUUUCAUUAUGAAGAUAGCAAACCCUCUUAAAACAGUAGUUUCCUGGAGAUGAACUCUUCAAAGAAUGAUUGGCAAGUAGCCAAUCAGAUCAUGGUAUUUCCUGACUACAGUUGGUUAACCCUGAGCAUUUCACAGAAUAAAAUUAAUUUGGGCUUUUGCUAACCAAGUCCAAGGAAAGUAAUGCACCCCUAUGUACAGAUUGUCAUGUCCCAAAGGUCACUUUUGUUUAUUGUGGUGCAUAAGGGACAAGGUAGUUGUAGACACAGUUUCUCCAUUUUUGUAAAAAUUUUUAAUUCAAGGUUUUGGACAUGGUUAGUACAUACAGUGGUCACGACAUACUGAUGUCGCUGACGGACCCACUGGAGUCUAUGGUUGCUCUGACGAGGAUACUGACAGAAUAUGGCACAGUGGCCGGAUACAGAGUCAACCUACAUAAAUCGAGUGCACUCCCCAUAGGUAUGAGCAAUGCAGACGCGGUGCAUAUAGUGAGGACAUAUCAGAUACAUAUCGCGAAAGAUCAUAUUAAAUAUUUGGGAAUCUGCUUAACGGCGGAUCCCUCUCUUUUGCACCAACAGAAUUACACACCACUUAUCAGGACAUUAAUACGAGAUAUGGAGACGUGGGGAGACAAACCAAUCUCGUGGAUCGGGAGAAUACAUUCGGUGAAAAUGAAUGUGUUGCCCCGGGUAUUAUUCCUAUUUCAAGCACUCCCGAUCCACCUGACUAAGUCUAGCUUGGGAGCACUACAGCAGGCCAUAGGUAAGUUUAUCUGGCAGAACAAGAAACAUAGGGUCUCGCAAAAUGUGCUGUAUAGAGCUAAGAAUAGGGGGGGACUGGGGCUGCCGAACCUGUACUAUUACUAUGUGGCUGCCCAAUUGGCCCAAAUAGCGCUAUGGCAUACACCCCCUGAAGAGAGGAGAUGGGUAGACUUGGAGUCCUCUUUAAUGGGCCCAGACCUCCCCCAAUUCCUCAUAUAGAUCCCUAAGGAACUCAUAUCUCUGGACAGAGCACCUUGUCAAGCGGUACAGGCCUCUCUCAGAGUCUGGGACACAGCUGCCAUCAAAUAUGGCCUGACAUCUACCCUAUCUCCAAUGACCCCGUUCUUGAGAAAUAGAGAUUUUCUCCCGGGCAUGCAGGCUAGGAACUUUCGGAGUCUCGAAGCUGCAGGGCUGCAGAGACUAUUCCAAUUGUUUGACAACGACUCCUUUGUCACAUUUGAGACACUAACGAGUAGACCCCAUUAAAACUGUUCGACUACUUUCGCUACCUUCAGCUCAGAGAUUAUGCCCGAGAUACCAGGAUAAAAAAAGCAGCGCAGACGCCAUUGACGUUUUUCGAAAGGAUGUGUUCCAGGGAACAAUUCCUGAGCGGCCUAAUCUCCUGUUUAUAUGCUCACCUGAGUACUCACACUCUGGAAUGGGGAGACAUUACGUACAUUGAUAAGUGGGAAGCAGAUUUGAAUGAAGUGCUAGAGGGGGUUGAAUGGCAGGAAAUAUGGGAGGCGGCUGCAACAUCCUCGGUAUGCGUGUCUGUUCAAGAACAAUCAUAUAAAACUUUGUUUAGGUGGUAUACCACUCCAGAGACACUGUGCCGCAUGCGUAAGAACCCGACAGACCUGUGCUGGAGGGGGUGCGGACAGAAAGGUACAUAUAUCCAUAUGUGGUGGGAAUGUCAAGUGGUGUGGACAUAUUGGAAGCAGAUCGCAGCAUUGCUGCGAGAUGUGUUCGGUAGGGAGGUAAAACUAGAUCCGUGGGUGUUCCUAUUGUUCAGAUCCAUAGAUGAUUGGACAAGGACGGAACAAAACCUUAUCCACAAAAUAAACCUAGCUGCAAGGCGAGCCCUAGCGCAGGGUUGGCUACAGAAAAACACUCCUACGAUAGCAAUAAUAAAACAUAAAAUAAAGGAUACUUUUUUAAUGGACAAAUUGACAGCUCAGGUCAGAGGGACUACAAAGAAAUUUGAAAAGAUUUGGGACCCUUGGAUCAAUAGUACAGUUAUCGACUAAAAUUGCAGACCGGACCAAGCAUAUAUACCUGAAAUAGUAUCACUCAGGGCAACGUAAAGAUAAGUUAGGGACCGCUUCCCCCAAACUCACCCCUUUUUGAGGAUGGGCAAAUAUGAGUUAGGCAGGAUAAAUGGAAUCAAUAAGGUGACACAACUCAUCGUGUGCUUUUUACCGGUCAGGCCUCCCUGGAGUUUGCCUCCCCCCCUCCCUUUACCCCUCACCUUUCUCCCACAUUCAUACAUACCUGUAUCUUUCUCUUUCCUCGGAGGAAGCCGUCUUUUUCUUUUUAUAAUUCCGAUCUUGGAACCAUCCUUUAUGUUCUUUACAAUUAUAAGAUUAUACAUCAGGGGUACAUGGAGAAGGUGGAGAAGCAUACGCAAUUAUUCAUAUGUGCCCCUGGUGGCUCUUAGUGCAAGCUAUAGCACGAUAGUUAUAUAUUUUAUUCUAUUUUAUUUUAACAUAAAAACACCAAACGGGAUGUCUUGAGAUGCAUGUAAAAAUGGGGAAGUAACCACAAUUCGGCAACUAUGAGCACAACCGCUAGACGCAUUUACGAAGUUUGUAAUUGGUCACAGUUUCAAUGUGCAGUCUUGCGGAUACUGCUGUAUUCCGAAAAUUGAAGUUUUUUUGUACUUAUUUUGAGAAUGUAUACAAAUGGUUAUGUAUGCAAUGUAUAAGAUGUCCUGUUUUGGAACAAAUAAAGAAUUAAAAAAAAAAAAAGAAACACGAGUUACUAACCCCCCCAACGUUUCGGCACCAACUGGCUGCCUUUAUUGAUAACGAAAACGUUGGGGGGUUUGGUAACUCGUGUUUCUGUCUUGUGGCUUUUAAGAAUCUUUUUGGAUAUUGCGAAAGUGAACCUUUCUCGUUAUAUUGUUCUAAAUAGGGGAAACCGAAUGGUCUGUUCCCAUAGAUUCCUAUCAUUGUAACCACUACAAUCAGCUGCAAUCGUGUUUAAUUUCCAGUGUACCACUUCUAGGGACACCAGAGAAAUCUCUAUCCAGUAUACAUGGCUAGAGUGCAUAAUUAGAUAUGUUCAUGCUGCAAGUUACUCUCGGGGCUUUCAGCCCAUAUUACAUCGCUUUAAUAGUGCUGGGCAUGGGUUGCCCUCCAUGAAGUUGUCCAGGGCGAUUGCCUGUCAGCCUGGCACACAUUUUUGGGCAAAAAAAAACAACGUGUGGGGGGAAACCGAUCCAGUGGCUUAUUACUAGUCUGCUCCCUAUGGUAAACACACAUCAUUCGAUGCUAGGAGGCAUGCAGAUUGGAAUGUUUAUGUCCAGUUUUUAAAACUAGUCUUAAACUUAAUAAUAUUUGGAUAUUAAUAUUAGAUUAGAGAUAGGCUAAGCAAUUAUGGAACUUUGUGAUGUGGCCAUAUUUUUUUCAUUUGAGAUGGGUAUCUCCAUUAGACCCGAAAGGCAAAAUAUGUUUUUUGUAUGCUUCAUUUCAUCAUAUACAAUGUUUUUUGUAUUUGUUUUGUAGGAUUUUGUACAUUGUAGUUUUUACUCUUGACCACCAGGGGAAGUGGUUUACCCCAUUUUAUUUUGCACUCAUUAAUUAAGAACUUAUCUGUAUUUAGCUGUGUGCGCCUAAGUUUUACUAUGUUUACUGAAUACUUACUGUAUUUGAAGAAUAUACAAAGACCCCAGCAGGUGACAGAGCUGUGUUAAGCUUUGUAUGCUUUGUUAACAUUUUUUAUUAUUUCAUAUUUAAGUUAAGUUUUCAGAUAUAAAUCAUAACGUGCCAAAACCAGUAUAAUAAAUAUUAAAUACAUGGGAUUUUUCUAAUCUCUUUUUAUGAAAGGGUUAAGGCUGCUAGCUACAGCAAACAAUGGUCACACGGAAUCUCGGCUGUGUCCUUUUCAAUGUAUUGUCAUUCAUCUUAUGAGCAGUGUCACAGUGUUCUUGUUAGUUUGCAAUAGUGGCUGUUAUGUUCUCAUAUAUUAAUGAAAUUACAAAGAAAAUCUGCAUUUUUUCCAACUACUGGCAUAAAGUUCCUGUCACCUUCAGCCAAAUACAGAUAUAAAUGUUAUUGCCGUCUAUAAUAUAUGAUAUAAAUAAUAAUCUCGGUUUAAUCCUUUAAAGGAACAUUAUGGGGUCAAGAACACAAACGUGUACACCUAACCCUAUGGUGUAAAAAACAUAUAUAGGAUUCCUAGUUCCCUGCUGCCCCCCUUAAAUAAUAAGAAAACAUACCUUAUUUCUAGCUCUGCGUGGGUCCGCUGGCGCUGGCCCUGGCCCAACCCCACUUCCUUGGCUGACAUCAUCAGAAUUGCUGACUCAGCCAAUCAGAAUGCUUUCCCAUAGGAAUCAAUGCAUCACUAUGGGGAGUGUUCUGCGUCUGUGGAAUCUUGGUUAAACUCCGCCCUUUGCCAAUGAUUCCCAAUUUUCAUGUAAGAAAGGUAAUCCUUACUUUUUAUUAUCUAGAAAACAAACAAAACAUUCAAAGAUAUAAAAGUUGGGGGUCGGGGGUAGAGGAAGCAGACAAGACCCCUGGAGAGACGGAGCUGUUUUUAAUGGGAGUUACAGAUUAUGUAAAAACGUGAUCUAACUGUAAAUGAAACGUGAGCUAACUGUAAAUGACAAUGCCAGGUUUUCCAUCUACUCACAUUAUUGUUCUGUGUCUGUGCAUAGUCAUUCGCAUUACUUUUGUUAGCUAGUUCCACCUUUCGUAGGAUUAUCAUGAAAAUGGUAUAGGACUAUAACUGACAUUUACUGGAUCAUAUGGCUUGCAGGGAUGACAAAUGGAACAUUGCUAUCUUUUGAUCUGUAGAACGUUCAGCUUGUGUUACUCCAUAUGGAAGACGUAUGUAUGUUCAACAUGUGAUCUUUUGUGAUCGUGUGCCAUGUUCUGCGUACUCCAAGCUUUCAUGACGCUUCCUGUUUAUUCAUUUAUGUGGUUAGUUGGCUUUGCUAAUCUGAAUACUGCAGGUUUGUUGAAGAUUUCUAUUAAUCCUUUGCCAGAAGCUUGUUGCUUUAUACAACAACGUGGUGUUUAAAGUAACACUAACCCAAGUUUGCUUUAUUUUAUAAUUUGUAUGUUCUGUGAAACAUUUCUCCAACUAUCUAAAUCAAUCCUAUGGUAUAAUGUAGCAGCAGAUGCCUUCAGCAUUGUGUGCCUUGUUAAGGUUAGAACAUUUUUUUUUCCAAAAAAUGCUUAAUAUUGUUUUAAAUCUUUAUUUUUGAAAGUGAAUUAUACCCUCAUCCAGGACACCCAUUGUGUGGUUUUGCAGCUCCUCUAUUGUUAUGUGUUUGCUUUUUUCCUUUAUACAUUGCAGCAGUUAUUUUAUAGUGUUGGGUUUAGAGUAAACUAUAGUUCUUUGCAAAAGUAAGGUGCAAGGGUUUUAAUCACAUUGAUAUAUUGCAGAGAGCCUAAGGAUAGAGCACUAGGCAUAGGAUCCUGGUGACACACAUAAAACUAGGAUCUUUGUUGGAAAAAACACAUCUCUCAAUUGUAAUGAACAAUUCUAAAUAUAUAUUUUACUGAACAGUCAUCAGUGUUUUUUAAACUGUUUUUGAAAAAAAAAUGUUCUAAGUGCCAGUUAAUUUAGAGUUCAAAUAUAAUUGUGUUUUGAAAAAAAUAUAAGGAGCUUACAACGAAUGAUGCAUUUUCAUUUAACAAAACUCGCAUGAUCAUGGGGUCUUUUAAAAAGCCAUAGGCUAUAAAUCUGAACUGAUCGACAGCUCAGAAUUUUGCUAACACUUUUAAAGUUAACUGAUAGUCCCAACGACAGAAUUCAUGGGCUCUAAAUCAGACCUUUCCCAAAUAUUGUUAAACUAUUGCUGCCAUAAAUAUAUAUCAACAUACAGUUGGAUCUGCUUUAUAUAUGGACUCAUUCAUCGUGUGCACUGUUCACAACAGGCUGUUCAAACCAAGUUUGGAGACGUAUCCUGGGACUUACAGUCCAAAACCAGCUGCGGGCACACAUGUUCUAAAUAAAGAUUAUGGCUAGGAUUAUUUAUUACUUUUAUUUAUCUAUUUUGCUAUAUAUAUAUUUUAUUAAGCUUAAUUUUAUGUAUAUGUUAAAAAUAGUGAAGAAUAUUGAAAAUGUUUCAUAUAAUGUUUGCUGGAUGUGGUGAAACUUUACUUUGGAAUAUGAUUCUGAUGCAUGGUCAGCUUUAAUAAUGUUAUGCUGUUUGUAUGUCAUUGGUUUAAGUGGUGAGAUGAUAUGACAACAAGGAGAAGGGGCAAAUGAGGAUUCAGUCAGGCAGGAAUUUCUGAAGGUUAUAUAUACAUACGCACAUACAUAGACCAUUAUGCAGUAUAGAUCAGCUUUCUCACUUGGCCUUAAAUAUGCAUCAUGUAAAGCGACUGACACAUUUUUCCAGGAGCAGAACUGCUAACAUGUUUAUGUAACGUCUUAAAGGGAUUGAUUAUAACAUAGAAAUGCAGGGGUUCAAUCACUAAACCGGUGAUUGAAAAAAAUUGAGAAGGGAAUUGCAAACUUUUUGCCAAAAUAUCCAAACUGGGAAAAAAAAAUCAGAUCAAAUGCUUUACCCAUUUGAUUAUGCAUUGUCUGAUUUUGCAAUUCUAUUAUUUUUGGAUUGCUAAAUAAACCCAAUGGGUAUACAGUACCCCUGCAAAAACAAGUAUUUUUGAUCGAUGCCACGACGAUUACAGCGAUUAGCUAUUAAAAAAAUAUGCAGAAUAGUAGGAUGCGACACGCUUUUUUUGUAAAUAUCUUUUUAUUUGAUUUCCAAUUUAACAUAGCAGUGGCCAAUGGCAUGUGUUGAGACUCACGGGUCUCGAAAUGAAGGUCAUCAGUAAACACGCUAACGUAAAACAUUCGAAAACACACAGCUUACAGAAUAUGAAUUAUGGCAUGAGACACGCAGGUCUCCUUUUCAGAUUCAGAAAUUAAGAGAAAUCUAAAAAAAAAACCUUAUUCAGUUUUCUGAUUUUAAAAGAAUGGUUUAACAUAAAGGUUAACAAAGAAAAGAACAAAAGACAAAACAGGGUUAGGGGGUGUUGCCCCAGUAUAAAGCUGUCAAGUCUGGAUUUGACACUCUUAGUACAGUCGUUACUUGCUGAGUAUUUAAUAAAAUAUAUAUGAUUGAAUGUCUGUAAAAAAAAAAUACUGUACAGCUUGUGGGAACUCAGUUGGGACAAAGAUGACAUUGUCUGUGUAAAUUAGGACAAUUUAAAACAUUGUACAUGUACACAUUAAAUAUAAUCCAGUUUCAGUUGUAGACUUGGUUACACAUAAUAACCUGAACCACCGUUUGCCAAAGCUACAGUAGAAAGGACAUGGAUUGAAUGUUUUCAAUAAGGUAUUAAUUAUAAAGAUGGGAUGAACAGCGAUGAAGCAAAUGUGAAUUCUGUCUCUGGCUGUUAUUCAAGUGUUUGUACAAUUUUGGCUUUCACAAUGGAAAAAAAAAGCAUUGUGUCUUAACAACGAAAAGAUUUUAGAAAUAUGAAGGGGAAAAGGCAGUGAAGUCAAACAGGAGAGCAAGAUGCUUUUUCUUCUCCCUCUCGCUUUUAUGAGUCCAACUUCAGGUCUACUAAAGCUUCUUGAUCUAGCAAGGUUGAGAGUCUUUGCAGCUCUCUGGUUACUGAAUUCCAUUUUCCCUGAUCUUUAGCCUGUGGUAUAUGGCUGGAGAUCAGUCAAGCUAUAAUUUUACUGUACUUAUAGCGGUAUAGGUUUCUUCUCUUAUAGGAACAUUGGAGUUCAGAACAGCAACUGGAGAGGCACACGUUACCACCCCUGGUGUAAGAACAAAAGCAGAUGAGCAAAAUAAUUGGCAGGCAGAAGUUUGUAAGGAGUGAUUCAAAAUGGGAUUUUAAAGAAGCUUUCACUUUGUAAAAACACAUUUUUGUUGUCAACACAAUACAAUUGUUUGUUUUGUUUUUUUUAAAAAUUGGCUUAAAAUUGUUAUAUAUUUUUUGUACUUAUUUUAAAUGUGAUGUUUUAUAAAAGAAGGCAUUAUUUUACCUUUACUACUUGUAUCAAUAUAUCAUCCUCCCUGUACUAUCAGAAUGCUGAUUGAUGUUCCCCAGCUGUACACGUUAAUAGUUGGCCAAGGUCAGACUCUGGAGGGAUGACAGUCAAGUUUCACGAUGAGGUUUAAAAAAAUUAGAGGAGGACUCACUCCUUAGAAACGAAUAAACAUUUAGAUUGACCAGACAUAAGUUGCUUUUCAAAAGAAGAACCACUAGAUAAUAUCAUUAUUUUUUUCCUUUUGCAAUAAAGUUAAAAUGAGAUGCAUUUUUAAAGUACAAAACAUAGCAUCAAUGUAAACAACAUAUUGCCAAAUAUAACACAGAACCCUUUUAACAUUCCAAAUGCAAAACUUGUCAUAGGAAAAAAAAUCUGGCUGAGUUUCCUUAAUCCAAGGCAUGGGUCCUCAAACUCCGGCCCCCCAGAUGUUGCUGAACUACAACUCCCAUGAGUCUUUGAAUUACAUAGAUAGCCAGAGAAUCAUGGGAGUUGUAGUUCAGCAACAUCUGGGGGGCCGGAGUUUGAGGACCCAUGAUCUUAGGCACAGCUAGAAUGUAGGAUUUCUUCCCAUAACAAUGAUCCUCUCCAUUUACUCUCUGCAGGCAUGUCCCCACCUGGCCAUAUUUUGUAGCACAAAUCGACGCUAAUCGAAUAUUUGAAUUGAAGAGUGCAAAGAAAAUUGCUUACCCUACCCUGCUGAAAUCCAUCGCAUGCGAUUUGAGAUAUGUUAAAUUCUGUAAAGGU